rnacentral:lncRNA from 1 species
UUCAGUUUUCUGAUUGCUUAGGUUAGAGCAUGAGUAUUGGGCUUAUGUAAAUGGGCCAAAAUUAUUUGGGUUGUUUUAUGUAAUUGGGCUGGCUAAAAAAUUGGGACUGUUGUUUUUUGUUUUAUUUUUUGUAUAUGUAUGGGCCUAGGCUAAAAAUUAGGUCUACAACUGCCCCUCUUUGCACAUUGUCGUGUAACAAAAAUGAAGCAAAGACCACAAAAAGACCAAUUUUUCCCGGUCUUGCCACAUCUCGACCACCUCAACGUUCUUCUUCUUCAAGUAGUCUUACAGCAACUUCAAGAAGAUAAUGUUUGUGACUUCAACUUGCAUAUUGAGCCUGCUCCACUGCAGCUUCAGAGAGAUAAGACUGGUGGCUAAAAUCUGCUCCAUAGCCGAUACAUGGAGAUAAGAUCUGUAAUCUUCAGUCUACUUCCUGCAACUUCAGGAAGAUAAGACUUGUAUCUUCAACCUGCUCUCUUGCUACCUCAGGAAGAUAAGACUUGUAUCUUCAACCUGCUCUCUUGCUACCUCAGAGAGAUAAGGCUGGUGGCUAAAAUCUGCUCCAUAGCCGAUAUAUGGAGAUAAGAUUCGCCAUCUUCGAUCUGUUCCAUAGCCGAUACAUGGAGAUAAGAUCUGUAAUUUUCAGUCUGAUUUCUGCAACUUCAGGAAGAUAAGACUUGUAUCUUUAACUUGCUCUCUGCAACUUUAGAGAGAUAAGGCUGGUGGCUAAAAUCUGCUCCGUAAUCAAUACAUGGAGAUAAGACUCGCCAUUUUCGAUCUGCUCCAUAGCCGAUAAAUGGAGAUAAUAUCUAUAUUUUUUAGUCUACUUCCUGCAACUUCAAGAAGAUAAGACUUGUACCUUCAACCUGCUCUCUUGCUACCUUAGAGAGAUAAGGUUGGUGUCUAAAAUCUGCUCCAUAGCCGAUACAUGGAGAUAAGACUCGUCAUUUUCGAUCUGCUCCAUAGUCGAUACAUAGAGAUAAGAUCUGUAAUUUUCACCGAUGUCGCUACACUGUCCCCUGGGGAACAUGCCCUGUAGACUCGGUUUCAAUAUGUCUAUGUUUAUGCCAAAUGAUUAGAAUGCUAUGACCGAAAUGAAUUAGAUGCUCCUAACCAAAUGUGUUAUGAAUGAUAUAAAUAUAGAAAUGAAAAUGAUUUCUUUUUUUUUAAAAAAGCUUUAAGUGUUAUUACUCGUUAUUCAUCAGAGCUUUAUCACUGUCGUAUUAUGCUGUCUUCCUAUUCGACUAGCAUUUCCAAUGAAAACCCAUAGAAACGACCUAUUUUGCUCAACUGGUUUGCCCCAUUGCAACUUCAGGGUCUAUUUCGCUGUACUUCUAGAACUUAAGCUUUGUACUAUCUUCAAAACCCCCUCUUCCACCAAUUCGGUCUAUUACACCACUCCCCAGGCCCCAUGACUAGAUGUGUACGCCCAACAUUACAUUAAUGAGGAAUAUCAUGACCCCUCUUAAUGCUUUGGUUGACACGAUAUCCUGUUUUCUUAUUUAAUCAAUAUCUUUGACUGAAAAUCUGAAGAGAUAAUCCCAAUUUGAACACAAAUAUCCCACCUCUAAGUUGGGUAAGUUCUCACCAAAAGUCCUGUUUCAGAUUCUUGUUCCAUUUAGAAACUUCCAGAGUAAUAUACAAAAACCUCUUUUGUAAAAGUAUUAUUAGUCCAUUAAUCGUUAUUUCAAUACAAGUAUGUGAACACAAAAAUAAAAAUGGACAAAACUGAAGUUUAUUAGGAACAAGAUUCAAGAAAACAGAUUAAUCAAGGGAAUCAAAUAUUGCCAGGGUACAAAAAUAGGUAAAGGGGAACAAAAAUGAACGCCCCAGAUAUCGUAGCCUAUGCUCCUCCAUAUGAACACCACAAGGACCAUUUUGAGCUUAUCAUGUGCCUAGGAGGUCUAACAUAUUCUGUCAAUGCCCUAAGACAUGCAUACUUCCUCUUCAUUAAUUUCAGCAUAGUAAUACUACCACAUGCCCCAUCCUUGGUCAAAAUUUGAAUUGCCCUUUUUGGGUUUUCAAUUCAAAACCCCUUUGGUCUCAAGGCGCUCUUUGCGGGUUUUCACCUCGGCUUUUCGUUUUUUUAGGCGCCCUUUGCAGGUUUUCACCUCUUAAGCGAAGUACUUCUUGACUGAAUCCGAAUUUACUGGGUUAGACAGGCUCCUACCAUCCAUCUCAGUUAGUAUCAGUGCUCCUCCAGAAAAAGCCUUUUUUACCACGUAAGGUCCUUCCCAGUUUGGCAUCCAUGUCCCUUUGAAAUCUUUUUGCAUAAGGAGAAUUUGUUUCAAUACCAAGUCCCCCUUAUGGAAUACUCUGGGGUGAACCUUUUUGUUGUAAGCUCGCAUCAUUCGUCUCUGGUACAUUUGACUAUGACAGAUAGCCUUCAGUUUUUUUUCUUCAAUCAAGUUCAGCUGAUCAUACCGGGACUGAAUCCAUUUGCUUCAUCUAGCUUCAACUCUGAUAAAACCCGGAGAGAAGAAAUUUCGACUUCAAUGGGCAAAACUGCCUCCAUCCCAUAAACUAAUGAGUAAUGUGUUGCCCCAGUAGAAGUUUUGACAGAUGUUCGAUAGGCAUGAAGAGCAAAUGGUAACUUUUCAUGCCAAUCCUUGUAAGUCUCCGUCAUUUUCCCCACGAUCUUUUUGAUAUUCUUAUUGGCUGCCUCAACCGCACCAUUCAUUUUUGGGCGAUAUGGUGACGAGUUGUAGUGCUUAAUUUUGAAUUGUCUGUAGACCUCCACUAUUACACUGUUAUUCAAAUUCAACGCAUUGUCAAAUAUGAUCCUUUCUGGCAUGCUAUAUCGACAUAUAAUCUCAUUCUUCAAGAACUUGCUGACUGCCGACUUUGUGACGUUGGCAUAUGAAGCAGCCUCUACCCACUUGAUGAAGUAAUCGAUGACCACAAAGAUGAAUCGAUGCCCAUUAGAAGCCUUCGAUGAAAUCGGCCCAAUGACGUCCAUGCCCCACAUUGAGAAAGGCCACGGAGAAGUCAUAACAUAAAGGGGUGAAGGAGGCACGUGGAUCUUGUCACCAUAAAUUUGUCACUUAUGGCAUUUCUUGGCAUAGCUGAUGCAAUCUCCUUCCAUUGUGGACCAGUAGUACCUGAAUCUCAUGAUUUGCCUGGCCAUUGUGAACUCAUUGGCAUGCGUCCCGCGGACACCUUCAUGGACUUCUAGGAUUUUCUUAGCUUCAACAGCAUCAACACAUCUUAACAGCAUCUGAUCUUUCCUUCUCUUAUAGAAAAUCUCUCCGUCUAAGACAUAGUCACAGGCUAGCCUUCUCAACGUCCUCUUAUCAUUUUCAGAUGCCUGAUCAGGGUAUUCACGGCUCUUCACAUAUCGUAAAAUAUCAUGAUACCAAGGAUAAUCAUCUCUCUCCUCUUCGUCGUCUAUACUGCAACAAUGAGCUGGAGCCUCAUAAAUACUCAUCUGGAUUGGCUUUAUAUUCUCUCGUCCAUUUACUCUGAUCAUAGAAGCUAAAGUAGCCAGAGCAUCUGCCAUCUGGUUUUCGUUUCGCGGGAGAUAAUAGAAAGUGAUAUCAUCAAACACCUUAAUUAAAUUCCAAACUAGCUCACGAUAGUUGAUCAACUUUGGGUCUCCAUUCACCUCUAAGCUGAUAGAUCACCAGUGCAGAAUCCCCAUACACCUCUAAUACUUCAAUUUUACGCUCGAUGGAUGCACGGAUUCCCAUGAUACAUGCUUCGUACUCUACCAUAUUGGUCGUGCAAUCAAAAUCCAAUUUACAAGUGAAUGGAUAAUGAUCUCCAUUUGGGGAUAUCAGGACUGCCCCAAUUCCAUUACCAAUAGCGUUUGAUGCUCCGUCAAAAUUCAGUUUCCAUGGAUAAUCUUCUGAAGUGUCCUCUUCAGUAGUUGCCACAUACACUAGAUCUUCAUUAGAGAAAUCAAAGUUCAAAGGCUUAUAAUCGUUUAAAGUUCUGCUGGCUAAAAAAUCUGUUAUUGCACUCCCUUUCACAGCCUUCUGGUUCACAUAAACUAUGUUGAAUUCAGAAAGUAGGAUUUGCCAUCGGGCCAUUCUUCCACUUAGAGCAGUCGACUCCAUCAUGUACUUUAAAGGGUUCAAUUUUGAGAUUAACCAAGUUGUGUGGUAUAACAUGUACUGCCUCAAUCUCUGAGUGGUCCAAACCAAAGCACAACAUAACUUCUCACUUGACGAGUAUCUCAUUUCACAUUCAGUGAAUUUCUUACUGAGGUAGUAUAUCGUCUUUUCUUUCUUUCUCGUCUCAUCAUGUUGACCGAGCACACAUCCCAUUGAAUUGUCAAAUACUGUCAAAUACAAUAUCAAUGGCUUACCGGGGCUAGGUGGCAUUAGCACCAAGAGAUUAGACAACUACUGUUUAACCCUGUCAAAGGUUUUCUGGCACUCAUCAUCCCACACGCCUGGGUUGUGUUUCUUGAGAAGGUGAAACAUGGGGUCACAUAUCUCAGUCAGCUGUGAAAUGAAUCGGGCGAUAUAAUUUAGUCUUCCCAGUAAACUUCAAACUUCCUUCUGAGUGCGCGGCGGAGGUAAUUUUUGUAUAGCCUUAACUUUGUCAAGGUCAACCUCAAUUCCCUUCUCACUGACUAUGAAACUGAGCAGUUUCCUAGACCUAGCUCCGAAAAUGCACUUUGUUGGAUUGAGCUUUAGCUGAAACCUUCUUAGCCUCAAAAACAAUUUCCUCAAAACCUGUAUGUGCUCUUUUUUUGUUCGGGAUUUUACAAUCGUAUUAUCGACGUAAACCUCAAUUUCUUUGUGCAUCAUGUAGUGAAACAAGGUUACCAUGGCUUUUUGAUACGUUGCUCCCGCAUUCUUCAACCCAAAUGGCAUCAUUUUAUAACAAAAAGUCCCCCAUAAGGUUAUAAAUGUGAUUUUUUCUCUGUCUUCAGGAUGAUCUUUAUCUAAUUAUACCCAGAGAAACCAUCCAUGAAAGAAAACAAUGAAUAACCUGCCGUGUUAUCCACCAAAGUAUCAAUGUGAGGCAAUGGGAAGUUAUCCUUAGCGCUUGCCUUGUUCAAGUCUCUGUAAUCUACGCACAUCUGCACUUUUCCAUCUUUCUUAGGGACAUGGAUGACGUUAGCUACCCAUUCUGAAUAAUUAACAACUUGCAAGAACCUAGCAUCAAAUUGCUUCCUGACAUCUUCUCUUAUUUUUACUGCAACAUCGGGUCUCAUCCUUCGAAGCUUCUGUUGAACAGGCUUGCACUCUUCUAUUAUGGGGACGCGAUGCAACGUAAUAUCAGCGUUUAGCCCAGGCAUAUCUUGAUAUGACCAUGCGAAAAUAUCUUUGAACUCUUGCAGUAAAUCAAUGAGGUCCCGUCUUGUUUCCUUAGUUAUACAAGUUCCAAUGUUCACCUCUUUCCCCUCCUCCAAGGUCACACUUUCGAUUAUCUCUUUAUGGGGUAAAAUCUGUUUCUCUUCCUGUUCUACCAUCCUUAACAAAUCUGAAGAUAAGCUACUAUCUUCAUCAUCUUCAAAAUCCUGAGAUCCCUCCAGACACACGUCUCACUCAAAAAGAAACUCUGGGUUUGUAACAGCGUCACUCAUGCCAUUGAUAUCUAGAGACCUAUUGUAGGCACGAAAAAAAAUCCAACAAAUAAAUGAACCUAAGUAUAGCUUUAUUUGUAUGGUAUGAGUAUAAAUGAAAUGCAAGAAAAGAAAAUUUGCUCAAGAUAAAAGAAUAUUUGCUCAGAAUAAGACAUGAAAGUGUAUUUAUAUUAAAAUAAACGAUUUGAACAUGAGCCUAUUUCACAAAAGAUUCUUAUUGCUUCUAGGCUUUAAAACAACAAGUGUGUUUUGAACAUUACUCUGUAUUAGCACUAAAAACUACAGGAAUUUCCUCUGUAGUCCAGUUGUUCAGAACACUUCCAGGCUCAUAAGGGCGAAUGCUUACUAAGUCACGUUUCAUCACUUUCUCUUCAGAUAUGACAUUGAUAUUCAAAUUUUCCAUUGUGUCUUCAGCUGCUCCUUUUCUUGUCAUCUUCAAUUCAGGAUAAAUAAUUCCAUUUGACACAAAUGUAUAGGAUAUAUGGGGAAAAGCCAUUGAUUCCUAUUUGACCUCUGCCCCACUCAAUCGUGCUCUUCAUCUCUCCUGUCUCCUUUCCAUCUCCUUUCUUUUCUGCUUUGCAUCUGGCCUAUACCCUAAGCCAAAGCGAUCCUGCUUGUCAGCCAAAAUUGGCACUUCAACCCGUCCAUGUAAAUAUUUCCCAAGUCUUCUUCCAGGCAAUACUCCCUUUCCCACUAUUAAUUGCAAGCUCAUCCUCGUAGCUUCAGAUAUUUUUGCCCUAGGGAUCUUCCCUCCUUCGCUGAUGAAAGUAGCAUCGACAAAUUCCAAUUACCGAAAGGAAUACUCAAUUGCUUUAUCAUCAUUUUUUAUAUACGGUGCACUGUUGGUGGCGGAUGCAAUAAUCUCCUCCUCCGCAUUUAUCGUUAUCAACCGGCUUUCUGCCACCAACUUUAGCUUUUGGUGCAACAAUGACUGUAUUGCCCCCGCCAAAUGAAUCCAAGGCCUCCCCAACAAGCAAUUAUAAGAAAGCUUAAUAUCCAUCACAAGGAAAUCUACCUCGUAUGUGUUUGGUCCGAUCAGCAGAGGUAUCUCAAUCCUUCCCAUCACUUUCCUCUCAGUGCCAUCAAAUGCCCUCACUAUGUUCUGGCAUGUCUUCAUAUGAGAGCUGUCUAUUGGUAACCUAUUUAAUGUGGACAAGGACAAAACAUUCAGCGCUGACCCAUUAUCAAUUAAUACCCCCAGCAGUGUAUACCCUUUGCAGCGAGUGGUAAUGUGCAAAGCCUUGGUGGAUCCCAUGCCCCCUGGUGGUAUUUCAUCGUCAUUGAAGGAGAUGAAGUUAUCGACCCUUAUGUUACUGACAAGGCGGUCUAGCUUGUUCACUGAAAUAUCUUCAGUAACAUAGGUCUCGUUCAACACCUUCAUCAACGCAUUUCGAUGAUCCUCCAAGUUUUGGAGUAGAGCUAGUACCGAUGUGUGUGUUGGCUGCUUGUGCAACUGUUCCACAACACUAUACUCACUGUGUUUUAAGAACUUCAAAAAUUAUUUGGCUUCAUCUUCAGUUACUGGUUCAUUAACCAGUGGUUUUGUCCUCUCUUUCCCUUGUUCAAUCAUUACAGACUUCACUUUUCCAAGCUCGACCUUUGUACUUGGUAUGCUGACCAAACUCUCCUCCUCUGGAUAUGUCACAUUACAGUUAUAAUUCCAAGGCACCCUUUUUUUAUCCUUAUACGGAAAAGCCGCGGGUCUCUGGAUUACAACUCUCGGUGUAAUUUUUGCUCUAACUUCAUUAGUUUUCAAUCGCGAAAUGAUCACCAUUGGGUGAUUGACCUCAUAAACCUUCUCUAUCAACCCCUCUUCCGAGGAGCAUACAUCGUCUUUCUCGGUAAACUCAAAGAACUCCAGUUCUUUGUUGUCCAUUAAAGCCUGUACCAGGGCCCUAAAUUCCUUACAUGUUCCUAUCUCAUGGUCUUCCUCUCCAUGGAACCCACAAUAGUUCCCUGCUUCUCGGAUUUUCUCCCAAAGUCUUGCAUGACUAGACUUUUCUCCACCAUCUUCUUCAAAACCUCCCUCAUCGAGGUUCUCACUUCUGCCACAUCCAACUUAAUUCUCCUCACCAUAUUCUUGACUAUGGCAUUUACCCCUUUAUCAGUAUGAUUGGGCAACGGAUUUCCUACACCAAAUGCAUCAUCGAAUUUCACAAUACCCAUGUUGAUGAGCCUUUCGACUACCCUAUUAAAAGAGGUGCAGUUCUCUAUCGAAUGUCCCGCGAUUCCAGCAUGAUAUUCAUAUUGAGCACUUACAUCAUACCACUUGGGGGGUUGUGGUGGCUUUAAGUAGAAAGGAGAUACGACGUGUACAUCAAACAAAUUUUUGUACAGCUCCUGAUACGUUACUGGAAUGAGAGUAAACUGGGGCUUCUCCGUGUUUUGCUUUGUAUUGUGCUCCUGUCUUGGCGAAGCUUGCUGACCCGUGGCUACCACUUUCAGUUGAUUUACCAUGAUUGGUUUCGCAUAACCCAUGGUCUCAUUGCUGACUUUAUUUUCUUUUUUUUUUAAGGGCCGACCUCCUGGUGGUUUCCCCUGCCUCUAUCUUUUUGCACCUUAUUGCAUUCUCAAUCAUUUCACCAGACAUAACUAUAUUCGUAAAACUCUUAGUUGCGCUUCCCAACAUGUGAUUAAUAAAAGGUGCCUUCAAAGUAUUAAUGAAAAGCAUGGUUGUUUCCUUUUCCAACAGUAGGGGUUGGACUUGUGUAGCAAUCUUCCUCCAUCUCUGAGCAUAUUGCCUGAAACUUUCAUUUGACUUCUUUUCCAUGUUCUGUAAUGUGAUCCUACCAGGCGCUAUGUCAGUCACAUGGCCAUAUUGUUUCAUAAAGGCUUGUGCUAAGUCUUUCCACAAUUUAACUUGGCUACGAUUCAACUGAUUGUACCAUUUGGCUACAGCCCUAGUCAAAUUGUCCUGGAAAUAGUGGAUCAAUAACUGAUCAUUAUUGACAUGACCAGUCAUUCUCUGAUAAAACAUCGUGAUAUGUCCCUCAGGGCAACUGGUUCCGUUGUAUUUUUCAAAUUCUGGCAUUUUAAACUUUGGAGGGAGUACUAGAUCUGGGACCAGGAUCAACUCCUUGGUAUCCAUUCCGUAAUGAUAAUCACUGCUUUCCAACGCCUUAAAUUUUUCCUCCAACCAUUUAUAUCGGUCUUCUAGUCGCUUUGGAAAUUCUGCUCCUGUCUUUCUUACUUCUGCAACCUCAUUGAAGUCAGGGACUGUAGGAUUUGCCCGAUGGUCUUCGGGGUUGGAACACGAGCUCGUCGGGACAUUUAUCGGUGCCGAAGUGCCAGUCUGAUAUUGGUUGAUACUGACAGAUACCUUUUACGGAGGUACUGGAGUAUUUGUUGAGGUGAAACCCAGAGGGUAAGCAAGAAUCCUACUAUCAUCCUCAGCAUUGACCAUGGGACUCUUCCCUUUUUCUGGCUUUCCAACUAGUAGCUGAGUCAAUUCGCUCAUCAUACUCCUCUGAGAUUCCAGCAUCUGAUCUUUCAUAUCUUGCUAGAUCUUAGCUAAUUACUCUUGCAUUUGCGCUUGCAUCUGUUCCUGCAUUUCUUUCUGCAUUUGUUCUAAUUUUUCCCACCUUUGAUCCAUAACUUUGGACUUUUUCCGUGUGUAAUAUUGAUGUUCCAGGGUAACUAUAAUACAAUUUCCAAUUCAUUAAGGUUCUUUUUGUGAAAUUUAAUGCACAUGAUGCAAUGUAAUGCAAAUGCAUGAAAUGUAUGCGAAAAUAAAGAGACGUCGAUUCUGAUUCAAUUCCAUUUAAAAAAUUUUAUUAAAAAGAAAAAUCCUUUACAUAAAAUAGAUCAUAUAUAUGACUUAGCCUAAUGCUCAAAGUUUUAACUUUCUUAAGAAGGCGAACUAGCUCAUGACCUCGGUCCGACUCUAACUCAUACUUCACACUUAGCACGUCAACCUGAACCGCUAAGGUUUGUAAAUAAUCAGCCACUUCUCGAAUCUGAGCCACGGUUUCACCCAUGAUAUAAUCUCUAUCCCUGACCUGGUCUUGCGAUCGGUGGAGCUGUUCCUUCCACUGCUCAUCGUUCGACUCAAGUAACUCAAUUCUACCUUCAAUCCUACUCAAGCUGGCUUUUAAUUCAAUAUCAGAGUUACGACCACGGUACUGAUGCAAGGCCUUUUCUAGCUCCGCUACCCAAGCUACCAACAUCUCUUUCUCACAUUGGCCUUCAACCAAGCUCUUCUUUAAGGCGCUUUCACGUGCUCGAGCAUCAUGAAACCUUUUCUCCCACUGAUUUGCUCUAGCCUUUUCCUCUUGAACUUCUAGUCGCCACUACUCUGACGUCUUUCCCAAUCCAGCAGUUCUCAUCGACAUACGCAGCUUCUUGUAAUCGGUCUUCAAACUAUCCAAGUCUUCAUCAACCUUCCUUUUCCCUUUUCUCAACUUCUCGGCCUCAAGUUUUUGAACGUCGGCAUCCAAUCUCAAAUGCAUAUUUUUCUCCUCCAAUUGUUCUAUCUUUUUUCUUAACUCCGCAUUUCUCUCUUCGAAGUCCCGUUUUACGAUUUCAAGCUUGGAGGGGGUUACUUGCAAAUAUUCUUCCAUAGUACGACCAUCCUCCAAACUCGGCUCGAAAAUAUUAUCAUUAACUCUUUUACUUAACAACCCCUUGUAUUCAGGAGUCGUCAUUGAUCCAACAGCCAAUUUCUUCAUCUGGCGUUUUUGUUUCCAAGCAUCAGAAAUCUCUUGAACCUUCUUCUUAUAAUUCUUCUCAUUAUACGCGAACUCACUCUGGGCUAAUCCAUGUGUCAUCGGUAUAAACUACCUUGACUUGUAUUUUCUUAAAACGAGCAAAAGGGCAUAUCCAACAGCUUCCCAAAUUCCAAGUAAAGGUACCCAAUCAAAACUCCCGCACCAAUAGAGGAUCUCAUCAGGAACAAACCAAGGAGCUCUCCACUCAACAUCCUCUUCCUGAAAAUUUCAGAGGAGCGCGAUCCAAUUUUCUCCUAAUAUGUCAUCUCUCCUAGACAUGGCUGCUAUCUCCUUUAACGGGGAGUAACUCUCGAAAAAAACCCGAUAGGAAACUUUAUCCACCUUUUAGAAAUGGCUGUGGAACCAAGCAACAAUAACUGCGCACACCCUAUAAAUUUACUUUCACUUGCCCUCCGACAUGCACUCAAGGAUCUGAAUGUCUCAGUAAAAAUUGCUGACACCGGUGUGACCCCUUUAUCAAGUCGAUCAAAGAAAUCGGCAACUGCUUCAUUUAUAUGCCUUAAAGCCUUGGGGAAAAUCACCAAACCAUAGAUACUCAAGGCAAAGACGUCAACUUUCCUCUUUGUAUCUGGAUGUGCUACGAUCAGGUCCCUCAAACUUACCCAAGGAAUGCACCUACAAUCACCCUUUUGCUGAAUUCGAGGUGUAACCAUUGUUCACUCAUCCCAGUGAUACUCAUUAACUUCUUUACAAAAGCUGGGGCACUAGUAGCCUUGGAAUAAACUUUGUCGACUUGAACCUUUAGACAACGAAUCAAAGCUGUAUACUCCUCCACAGUAGGCACCACAUUCCCGAAGGUGAAGCAACUAUACGCCGGGUUUCAAAACGGAGCCAUAGCCCGAAACAAGUACUUGUCCACAUUGAUAUCGAGCAGGUAGGGUAAGUCACCAUAACUUUGAUAGAAUAGGUGCUUGGUCUCAUCAUCCCAAGGAGCUCAUAUAUCUCUCAAUUCCUGGAACUCGUUUUGGGUCGUAUUGAUGCGAGUGAAGCCCGACAACCCCGAUGUAUACCCCUCAGCUAGGUUAUCCCCUUUCUCAAGUUGCAUAUUCUCUGACCACAUACGGACAGCCGCAUUAUCCUCAACUUUAUCAAGGAAUUCACUCUCCAUAACAAGCUUUCUAAUUUAGCAACCGAACAGAAAUCGACACCUCUUUAAUAUGAAAUGACAUACAAAACAUAAUCACAACAAAACACAACAAGUUAGUAUCGAAAAAUAAAAAUUUAAGCAAAUAGAAAAUAAGUAAACACCUAACUGGGUAAUCACUAGAGUUCAACAUAGCUCUACCUAGGGCGGGCUCCUAGAGUUCACUAUAUGUGGCUCGGUUCUAGGAAAAUGGUACCUGAACCAGAAGAUUCUUCAACCCUUACCCAUUAUAGGCUCAUACGGAUUGAGUUCAGUUCAGGGGAAUACAUUUCCUUAUGGCCAUGCGGAGGUGAAAACCUCACAAAGACAUAGGUACGGAUGUAUCCCGGAAGCAGUCCACUAGCCCAUGCGGAGGUGAAAACCUCACGAAGCCGUAGUCUCUCACUCCCACUUAAAAAGGUGUGACCACAACGGUCAUGCAAGAUGAUAUGAAGGGAUAUAAAAAGCUCAAAAUGCAAAACACGAAUAAAAUGACAAAAACUAUAAAACCCAUGAAAUGCAAUAAAAGGAUAGUAUGUUAAAAUCUAAAUUUUAAAUUUUCGACAAAACGACAGCAAAUAAUAAUUUUACGGCUUGACUCUCUUAUUGGUCCCCAACAGAGUUGCCUAGCUGUCGAAACCAUUUUUAUUUUGGAAAAACGGGGGUCGACUUUAAAAAGAGGUACGGAAUCGCCACCGAUCCUUUUUUGAGGUGUGAUCGGGUCACCUUGAUCAUUUUAAUAAAAUAUUUUAAUUUAUUAAAACAAUGAUUUUGGGUCUACGAAAAUUGAGGAAAAGGGUUCGGGAGUCGAUUACGUACGAAAAAAGGUUAGCACCCCCGUAACGCCCAAAAUUGGUACCAAUUGACUAAUUAAUGUCCAAAUGUUGAAAUUUUGAAAAAAAACCUUAAAAAUACGAUCCCCUAGAAAAAAGUGUGAACAACUCGAGUUGGAUUUUAAGAUUCACACAUUCCAAAGGAAUAAAAUACCGCACCCAAUACGUUAGGACACGAUAUUUUAAGUCCCCAAAAUUGAGAUCAGCUCAAGAUUUCCAAAACGCACAAUGAAUCUUAAAAGGGUAUUUCGUUAUUUGGCCAAACGAAAAAACGAAACCCAGCACGUUAGGGCACGAUUUCUCGAAUUUUCAAACACGAAACAUUGCCUUUUUUUGAGGAGUUUCUAAAUAAACAAUUAUAAACCGGCUCAAGAUAUACUUGCUUAGUUUCUUUAAAGGUAAAAAAAAAACUUGAUAUUAGGCAAAAAAAAACAUUUGAAAUUUUAAAGUCCGAUAAAAAUAGCAAUCAUUCAAGCAUUGAAUUGAGCAUGAAAUAAAUAUAUACAACCAUAAUAUUACGUGAAUAAUAAAAAGGAAAAUACAAAGAACCAAGUUGCAUGCAAUAGCAACAUAUCAUAUACUAUAUAAAUACCAUCACUAAUGUCCGAAGGCUAACGAAUUGGGCCAAUUUAUAAGAAAUUUCAAGCAAACUAUACAAAUAAAAUAUGAAGUUUUAAAACAAACUAAAAUGAAUAAUAGGGUGGAAAGUAAAAUUUAAAACAUUACUGUGCAAUGAUACAAAAAAUUUGAAAACCGACCAUAGAUACAAAAAUUUAAAAUAAGAAGAAAAUAUAAAUAAGUAAAGUACUAAAUAGUAAUAUACAAAUGAAUUUUAAAAAAAUGACAUAAGGUAAAUAUUUAUAUGAAAAUUUGAAGUGUAUAAAAAAAACAAACAUAGAUAACAUAAUAAUGCGUAAAUGAAAUUGCAAAAUAUAUAUAUAUAUAUACGUCAAUCAAAAUAGAUAAUAUACAUGAGGUAAAAUUUUAUAUAAAAAUAAUAUAUAUACAAUAAUAACAAUGUAAUAUCAAAACAAAGAGUGUACAUAAGAGGAAAUUUUAAGAUGAGUAUAUUAUAUAAUAAAACAUAAGGAUAUGCACAUGAAAAAUAAAAUGUAAACAAUGCGCAGUCAAUGAAAUAAUCCCAAAAUAAUACGUAAGAAUAAUAUGAUUUUUUUUUUAAAAUGAAUGGCUAAAAACUAAAUUGAAAAAAAAACCAAAAUCAAAGAGAUAUUUUAUAAACCAUACAAAUUAUUGAAACAGAAUUGAGGGCCAAAAUAAAGCGUGCCCAAAUGUUCGAGGGUUAAAACCGAAAAUGCUGCAAAGCGAUUCAUUCUAGCAUGGACCGAGAUGAAUAGAUGCACAAAAUUUCUAGGACAAUUUAAAAAAACAAGGGAAAUGCAAAUAAGUUUUAAUUACAAAUCAGUACAAAAGGAGAGGACUCAAUGCGCAAAUUCCCCCCUUUUAACCAAAUGCAUAAGCCCAACACCAAACGGUGCUGUUUUAAUUUUAUGACUUAAACCAUUUUUGUUUUAAAACAUUUUCAACCCCUGAUUUCAAAAAACCUAGAGUUUAAAACUUGCUUAUUUCUUCUUGCCACAGCCGAAGGGCUAACAGCCCCCAACCACCGCCGAAACCAACUGCAACGAACGGUCUUCCAACGGAGCGGUAAGUCUCUCUCUCCCUUAUACUUUAGUAUGCAAAAGAAUCUAAAUGAAGAGCUGAAAGUAAUAGGGAAAAAAAAUAUGCAAUCACCUUCAAAAUAAAAACCAAUAUUCACUCGCCGUUUUUGCUUGUAUUUGGUAUCUCGUGUGAAUUUUUGUGCUCGAUUUCUAUUCUAUUUCUCUAAAAAAAAACCCCAUACACUUAAAAACGAAGGCUUUUAUAGCCAAAAUAUAAACAGUUUUUUGGCUAUUUUUGCUCAACUUGCAGGUCAUGAAGACGUGGGUACGAACAUGGAGUAAGGCGUGCGUGCGUGGCGUAGGUGAUCGUGGCUGAAGGCUGCGGCGCAAAUGAAGCUUUUAAGGAUUUAGGGUUUCAGUUUUCUGAUUGAUUAGGUUAGAGUAUGAGUAUUGGGCUUAUGUAAACGGGCCAAAAUUAUUUCGGUUGUUUUAUGUAAUUGGGCUGACUAAAAAAUUGAGACUGUUGUUUUUUGUUUUAUUUUUUGUAUAUGUAUGGGCCCGGGCUAAAAGUUGGGUCUAUAAUGGUUUCGGUGAGAACAUUCUCCACUAAUCCAUCAUCCAUAUCAACCUAAACAGAUGAUGAUGGCUUCGAAAUUCUAAUGACAUCCAACUUUUAAUAUCUCUACAAUGAAAAUCUAAAAUAACAUGCUUUGGUCAGUCAUAUGCAACUCAAUCAACAUUAGCAUUGAAUCAUAAUUUAAAUAAUCAUCGUCUUUCCUCUAAAGACUUUCAGGCCAGAUUCAUGGAGUCUUUUUUCUCGUUUUAAGUGGCUAUAGUUCAGUAGUAAAACAAUACCAUCCAAUCUGUAGUAAAUACCUUCUCAAUUAUAAACUUGGUUCAUGUGCUCCAACCAAUUUGUUCCAAUGGCCUGUCUUCAUCGUCCAAAAUUGCAACUGAAAAUGUAAAAACCUGCAGAACCAAAUGCCCAUUUAUGGCAUCUCCUAGAAAAUCUUCUGAAACUAGUUAUUAGCUGUUCUAUCCAUUCAAAGUGGUUUAAGUUGAACAAUUUUCAUUUUUAGCAAUUCUGUUCACUAUAAUUCCUAGAGUUUUGAACAUGUGGUUUAUAGUAUAUCAGUUUUGAAAGAACAUCAAAAAUUACUAAAUAACAGAUAUCAGUUAUGAAGAUUACCUGAACAGCUCAACAAGGCCAGACAAACCAAUUCCUUUCUGUGGUUUCUAGGAAUGAUAUAUACCAAUAAUACCAUAGUAAAAGUCUAAAGCAAACACUUUAUCCUUCUGUCCUACUCGUUGAAUUCUUUUCAGCCAAGGUUUCUGGGUCACUGGUCACUUUGUUCUCCAACCGGCUGUCUAGAACUUCCAAAACAUUAUCUGGUGGGCAUUUGUCAGCAGGAUUUUUAGGUGAUACUUGACAGAAGCAUUCUGGCCAAGAAUUUGUAUAAAAAGAUUCAGGUGACACCCGCUUGUGAGGUCCACCGAAGUUUGUUUUAAGCAUGACACGCCUAACAGCUUCUUUGAAACCUUCUGUCCGUCCAUUCUCUCGAUCAAUGAAUAUUGGAGCAAGAGCUUUUCUGUCAGGUCUAAUUGUGGUCCGAAAACCAUAAUAGAGGCGAUGGCCUAGUAGAUUGUUGGCGAAGUUGCUAGGUCCAUCAUAAGUUGGCAUAAAAAUGUCAGAAAGAAGACAAACCAUGUAAUCAACAGCAGAGCCUAACAACCCCUGAGUGUUCGUAACCAGUUCCUCUGAAGAGUCUACAGAACUGUGAUUCUCAAGGCGAGGGAAAAGAUCCCGAAAAUGUUUCAUAAAACGCUCUCCCCCAAAUAAUUCACCAGCUGCUAGGUAUAUCCUGGUAGAAUUGUCAAAUCCCAUAGCAUGCAAGAUAAGACCAACCUGUAGUUUGAACAGUCAGUAUUUAUAUAUAAGAACCAUCUCUCUCGCCACUCCCUGUGUAGAGGAACGAUUGACAAGAUAUGCUACCUCCUUUGGAGUUAAUGGGCAUUUCCCAAUAGCCCUUCUUUCUUUGUAGACAAGUCUUUUCUCUGCAAAAUUUUCCUUCCUAUACUUCUUCAAUAUACUUUGCUCUUCUGGGUUAAAAAUAUCAAUGCACCUAUAAAACCAUUCAAGCCCAUAGCUAGUCAAAGUCCUCAUGCAUAUCAUGAUAUUUAUUACAUCCAAACAUGUGUUAUUAUUCAAUAAAACAUGUACACAUCAAGUGGAUUAAAAUGGUGAUAGUGGAUAUAUAAUUACUUCAAAAUGGGUAUAUUCACAGAAUAUUGCAUUGUACCCCAACCAACACGUCAUCCUUAGCAUAAAAUUUAACAGACUAUACAUGGUUAUAGAACAAAAAUCAACCUCACUUAUUUUUAAUUUGUUGAAAUAUGUGAAACCCAUAUAUUUUGAGGAUAUAUUUUAAAGUUAUUUAGGUAAAUAAAUCUUAUUUAGGUAGAUAAAUCUUAGAAUAAAUCAUUUGAGAUAUUUUAGGAAUAUUUUCCCAAUUAGGUUGACUCUUUUCUCUAUUUAAAUUCAGUUGUUUAGUUAAUUAAAGACAGAACAGUUUUAUUAAAUGCUCUCUUGAAAACUUUCGUAGUAUCAAGGCUAAGUUAAAUCUCUAGUAGCAUCAUGGUUAAAACAACCUUUACUGGAGAUAAGAGAUCCAACAAUCAAACAAAAGAAGAAAAUUCCACCGUUGAAACAACUAAUGAAAUUAUGAGAGCCAAAGUUCUCUAGAAGGAUCUCCAUUCACUAAGGAACAAUUAGAGCAUCUACAUAAGCUUUUUCAAUUACCAUAAUUUCGGAUGAAUUCUUUUGUUCCUAACUCAUCCAAUAAUCCUUCUUCCUCCUUUGCCCAAUCAGGUAUUGAUUUUUCUAUUUUUUUCAGUGUCAAGUCUUGUAAAACAAACUCGGCGAUCGUUGAUUCUGGAGCUAGUGAUCACAUGAUUAGUAGCCAUUUUCUUUUUUCAACUUACACACCUUGUGCAAGAAACAAAAAAAUCAAAGUAGCAGAUGGGUCGUUCUCAGCAAUAGCUGGGAAAGGCACUGUUAAAAUUUCGCCUUCCUUGGUUUUACAAGAUAUUUUACCUGUGCCAAAUCUAGCUUGUAAUCUCAUAUCGGUCAGUAAAUUAUCCCAGUCCUCGAAUUGUCAUGUUAUAUUUGACUCCUCUAUGUGUAAAUUUCAGGACAUAGUCUCGAGGCAAAUGAUUGGCAAUGCUAAUGAAUCUGGUGGAAUUUACUUUCUUGACGACGACCAUCUAAGUUAACCAACAACUACUUUAUGUUUAAAUACUGCUUCUCGUUUUGAUAGGUUAUGAUUUGGCAUUAUAGGCUUGGAUAUCCUAAUUUUUACUAUUUAAGAUAUUUGUUACCUGAUCUAUUUAAAAAUAACAGUCUUUCUUCAUAUCACUGUGAAUUUUGUGAAUUGACUAUACAUCAUCGGUCAUUCUUCCCACCUCAAAAAUAUAAAGCUUCCAAACCCUUUUCGUUAAUUCAUAGUGAUGUUUGGGGACCUUCGAAAGUCUCAACUUUUUCAAGAAAAUAUUGGUUUGUCACAUUUAUUGAUUAUCAUACUCACAUUUGUUGAGUGUUUUUAUUAAAAGAUAAGUCUGAAGUUAAAAAUAUGUUUCAAUUUUUGUAUGUUAUGGUGAAAACACAAUUUGAGGUGAGAAUAGAAGUACUUCGGAGUGACAAUGGAGGGGAAUUUUUUAGUGACCAAUUAGGUGUUUUCUUAACCAAACAUGGUAUAGUCCACCAAAGCUCUUGUACAAAUACACCACAACAAAAUGGGGUUGCAGAAAGAAAAAAUUGGCAUCUUUUGGAAAUAACUAGAGCCUGGAUGUUCACUAAUCAGGUACCACAUUAUCUUUGGGGCGAAACCUUGUUAACGGCUACAUAUCUUAUUAAUAGAAUACCUAGUAAAACUCUAAACUAUACAACUCCUUUCCGUCUCUUUAAAGAUAACUUUCCUAACUCUAAAUUGAUCACAGAUUUAUCCCUCCGAGUUUUGGGGUGUAGUAUUUUUGUUCAUCUUCACAACCAAGGCAAACUAGAUCCUAGAGCAAAAAAAUGCGCCUUUGUUAGCUAUACUUCUAAUAAAAAAGGUUACAAAUAUUAUGAUCCAAUUGAUAGAAAGAUUAUUGUUACCAUAGAUGUUACAUUUGUUCUUACUCAAGAAGAAAUCGAAAUCAAGAAAGUGGAAUCAACCAUAUUCAUCACUAAGAAUCCAACUUGCAAGAUCUUGUCAAAAAUCUAGGUAAAGCUCAUAAUCCAACCAAUGAAUUUUUGAUUUAGAUUUUUCAAUUGUUAAAAGAAAAGGUGUUAGAAAUGUUGUCAAAUAUCCCAUGUCUAACUUUGUGUCCUAUAAAGCCUUGUCUUCGACAUUCUCAUCUUUUGUUUUGUGUCUCGAUACUGUGAAAAUACCAAAAAAUGUGAAAGAUACUAUACAAAUUCCUGAGUUGAAGGAAGCUAUUUUAGAGGAGAUGGGAGCUCUUGAAGAAGCAGGUACAAGGGAAACAAUAGAAUUACCUGUAGGGAAAAAAACUGUGAGUUGUAAAAAAGUGUUGACAACCAAAUUCAAACCGGAUGGAUCUUUAAAUAGAUACAAAGCUCGGUUGGUGGCUAAAGGGUACACUCAAACAUACGAGAUAGAUUAUCUUAAAACAUUGGCUCCAGUAGCCAAAUUAAAUUUUGUUAGAGUUCUUUUAUUAAUUGUUGUUAGUCUUGAUUGGUCCUUACAGCAGCUAGAUAUGAAGAAUGCUUUUCUAAAUGGGAAACUUGAAGAAGAAGUUUACAUGGAUCCUCCUCCAAUUUUUGAAGAAAAAUUUGGAACUCGAGUAUGUAAGCUCAGGAAAUCUUUGUAUACUCUAAAGCAGUCUCCUUGAGCUUGAUUUAAAUGGUUCACUCAAGUUGUUAAACAAUAAGGUUAUUCACAAGGGCAAGCUGACCACACAAUGUUCUAUCGACACUCACAAAGAGGUAGAAUAGCAGUUAUUAUAGUUUAUGUCGAUGAUAUCAUUCUUACAGGAGAUGAUGUGGAUGAAAUAAAGUGUCUCAAGGAGCAUCUAGCAUUGGAAUUUGAGAUCAAAGACUUGGGUCCUUUGAAAUACUUUCUUGGAAUAGAAGUUGCUCGAUCAAAAAAAGGUCUUGUGGUCUCUCAAAAAAAAUAUGUGAUUGAUCUUUUAAAAGAGGCUGGGAUGAGUGGUUGCCGACUAGCUAACACACCAAUUGAUCCAAAUGUAAAAUUAGAAAAUAAAAAAGGUCGAUUAGUUGAUAAAUGGAAGUACCAAAGAUUAGCCGGUAAGUUAAUUUACUUAUCACAUACAAGGCCAGACAUAGCUUUUACAGUGAGCUUAGUGAGUCAAUUUAUGCACUCCCCAAUGGAGGAACAUGAAGAAGCAGUGUUUCGAAUUCUGAGAUACUUGAAGAGUUCACCUAGAAAGGGUUGAAAAGAAUUAUGGAAGAGCUGAGGAAACCAAUAAGUUCACCAAUGAAGUUGUACUGAGAUAGCAAAGCUGCCAUUAGUAUUGCUCACAACCCAGUCCAAUAUGACAGAACUAAACAUGCUGAGAUUAAUAGACACUUUAUGAAGGAGAAGAUUGAAGGAGGCCAAGUGUGCAUGCCGUUUGUUCCUUCAAAACAACAGAUUGCUGACAUACUUACCAAAGAGCUCUCCAAGACAAGCUUUGAUUUUCUUGUAAGCAAGUUGGGCAUGAUUGAUAUAUAUGUACCAACUUGAGUGAGGGUGUUGAAAUAUGUGAAACCGAUAUAUUUUGGGGAUAUAUUUUAAAGUUAUUUAGGUAAAUAAAUCUUAGAAUAAAUCAUUUAAGAUAUUCUAGGAAUAUUUUAUUUUUUAUUUUAGUAGUUCAUUAGAAUCAGGGAAUUAUUUUCCUUAUGUUUUAGUAGUUUAUUAGAAUAAGGGAAUUAUUUUCCCAAUUAGGUUAUACUCUUUUGCUCUAUUUAAAUUCAGUUGUUUAGUUAAUAAAAGACAGAACAAUUCUAUUAAAUGCUCUCUUGAAAACUUUCAUAAUGCACUAAUAAUGAUUUCAAACAAUGAUAUGUAGAUGCACACUGACCUUGCAUGCACUGUAUAAGGAGAUGAAAGAUUUUAUAUUUCUUAAUGUUACAGCUAAGGCUAUUCAGGCACAAAGCCCCAAGCAAAAUGAAUGCAUAGCCUAGACAACCUAUGGCAACUGUGAAUGAAUUAACAUAGAUAUAAAAUGAUAACAAAAAGAACAUACCCAGCAAAUGCCAGCAUAUCCAUCUCAAAACGAAGAUGGAUCGACAUGAAAUGACCCUGUGCCCGGAGUUUAUCAACUAUUGACUCACUUAACUGCAUAAUAUUUGGCUUGAACCUCAAAGCGUGAUAGUUAACUCUACACCUCAACCGUUGAUACUCGGGAUUGUCAAUUUCUUCAGCAAGACGAUGUGAAAAGGGAGUCAGAUAAAUAGCACCAUGUUCUUGCAUUUUCUUGAGAGCAACUGUUGUAUACCACUCGAUAGGAGCAUCCCUCGGGGGGCGAAGCUAAAUGAAUAGACAAAGAGGCAAGAGCAGAGAAAAGACAUAAGUUUCAACAACUUCUACAAAACUUAAAAAUUAUUUGCCUAACUGAUUAUUAUAAUCGAUGGCUCCCAUAUUUCACACCUGAUACCCUUUUAUCUUCUUGGUUUUGCCAUUUUUUUGGAUUUCAGGUAUGCUUUCCACAAUUUGUACAUCAUACUUCAAUGUCUGGAUAAAAUGCUCAACAUCAUAGAUACCUUGGAAACCACUGGAGAGAAAAGAUGGUAUCGUUACAAUUUAAUUGCAAACGGUCCACAAGUACAGUGGCAUAUUGCUUCAAUAAAGAGCUGGAAAACACAUUCCAUGUGAUGUGUGUAUAUAUUCCUAAUUUUUUUGUUAGGAAGGUGAACAAUUAAUAUUCAGCAACCAUAUAAAUUAAAACAUAAAAAUGACUGCACAAAAUUAUUGUAAACUCACAAAAGAUCUCUACAUUAAUGGUGGUUUAAGUUUCAGGGAGAAGAAACGGCAGAAAAAAAAGUCUAGAAAUGAAAUUGAUUAAAUAACUAGUUCAAAAACAUCAGUUGCUGAAAAUUUCUGAUAUCUUAGAGAACAGAAACUAUGGCCUGAGCAAAUCAUAUAUUAAUCAUCACUCUAUUCAAUCACAUUGCAGUAUAAAAAGCUUCUCAAAGAUAAAGCAGAUAUACCAAACCAAAAACUACAGAAAAUAAUGUAGAAAGUGAUUCGAGUUCAUGAGCAAGCUCAUAUCCUAGUUGGAUCUUCCAAACUGCUAGUGGUUCUCUUCCUAAUAAUCCUUGGAUUUCUUAGUUUAGGAGCCAGUUCACCAAACAAACUAAGAAUGAUAAAUACAAAAAAAUCUGAGUAACUUCUCUAAAGUUACAGGUAACUUGAACCAUAAUAAAUUGAAAUGAAGAUGACUCAAGUUGACCAAUCAAAUUAACACAAAUUUGCCGUAACCAUAGCAAGUUCAAUUAGAAGAGUAGCAGAGAGAGGAAGCCACCUAUUCCCCAGUGAACAAAUUAGAAAAGAUAAAGCCAUGCACAGCAAGAGAACACAUUAAGCUUCACAAAUGCAGAUGAAAAUAUUGCAAACAAUCAUAAAUUUUAAUAAUCUUCUGUUAGCCUCUCUAAGAUGCCAAAUCCAAGAAAUCAGAAUUUCACUUCCUAUGGCUUCCAAAAAAGAAAAUGCCUAUAAUUGCCAAGCCAUUAAGUUUUUGCACUGUUUAAAUAAAUGUUUAAAUUCUAUCUGAAAAUUUUCCAUCUAAAAUCUGUGUCCAUACUCAUCACGUACACUGCUUCUGUUAUAGAAGUACCCAGUGAAUUUCAAAUAAAUUGAAAAAAAAGGGGGUAAGGAAAUGACGAGACAAGAUUACCUUUCAUCAUGCCAAAAGGAGUUUGCAUCCAGCUCAGGCAGUACAAGUGUGGCAUUCAUAAUUCGUGCAGCAAGAACUGCAUUACAGAUCUAGGACACCAAAAGAAGCAAACUUAAUAUUUUAUUUAAAAUUUAUAAACCACAGAAGCAAUAUCAACACAAUCUAACUCUAUUUUAAACUUUUAAGCCUUUUUACACUAAGAAUCUAAAACAAAACAUAACCAUAAAAACUCAAGCUGGCUUGCACCCAUUUGAUUUCCAUGGAAACACAGAGUAUGAUAGAGUAGAAUUUACAGCAAAAAGGUUAAGACAAACCGCGCUGCGUUGUUGGUUCAGACCGCCAUUGCAACGGACUCGAAGAUAACCAUUAGUUUCCCUUGGAGGAGCUGCCAGAAUAUAGCAAUAAGAAUUCUAAGGAACUUACAUUUUUACAUAAAAUCAAUUCAAACAUAAUUUUUUUUCUUUGGGAAAGUUAUGAGUAGUUACAGGGCCAGUCAGAUCGUGGAGCAGAUGAAGGCCUCCAUCCACUAGACUUGGCACUUUCCCAAAGUUCUUCUGCAUUGAUCUGAAUAAAUAUUUCAGAAAAAAGACAAAAGAAUGAUCAAAGGUUAGAGUGAUUGACAAUGAUGACCAGCCAUUAAAAGUGGGAAAGGGCGAGAAUAAAUCCUAUUCACUGGUUUAGCUCCCACAGGUAUAUAGUAUGAAAUAAUACAACAACCAGUCUCAAGCAUCUGACUACAGAGGAACUGUUUUAUUACGAUUAUCUCAAACCAUUUCCUAUAAAGAUAACAAAAACCUAUCAACAAAUAUUGUUAAAGGAAGCGGAAUCAUGCAUAAAAACACCUAAAGUCUCUGAAAACUAGCUAAUGAUCCUCUUGGACUUAAUCCGCAUGAUCCUAGCAAAUUAGCAUAAAACCAAACCAAUGCAAUAAAUAAAACAUUUCCACUUUGAUGAAUUUUCAUGCAAGUAAAUAGGUCAAUUUAUGAGGUACAUUACAAACGCCAAAUAAAGUACCGACCAAAUGAGAUGGUUUGCAGACGCAUCAAACAAGAGAUUCCCCCAAGGCUUCUAUAGAGCGUGAGCAUUACUAUAGACUAACUCAGACAACAAACUUAGCUACCCAUUACAACAAACUAACAACAUUUAUGCCUUAUUAAGUUUCAACAAUCUGAUAACAGAAGCAAUCCGCAAAUUCGCUUAAUACUGAAAAUUUAAUCACAAAGCCAGGGAACAAAUUCAAGACGAUCAGAUCCUAACUCUUUACAAGAACCACUAACCUCGGAAGGCUCUAGAGAUCCGCGAUUUCCGCCAAUUGUAGCCGAAAACAAAAGCGAGAGCGUGCAGAUCAAAAGCACCACAACAGCAAUCGUUAGUUUGGCGUAAAUUCCCUUUGCUCCUACUCCUCCUCCUCCAGCUCCUUGUUUCCCAUGCUGCCUAUGCAGCCCCGACCUAAGCAACAAAAUAGAAAGAAGAAGUUAAAAAAUGGCAGUCUGGUUCAACGGAAAACCGAAAUUUUUAACGGAAAAACGAAUCAACUAGUUAGUUUGUAAACCUCCGCAUAAUUACGAAAGACAAAAAAAGCAAUGUAUUAUUCCCAGAUCUGAUGUUUUUACAAAUUUCCUUCUUUCUGGUUGUCGGUUUUACUUGCCGCCCUGUAAAACCUUGAAAUUAGUCAAAGUAAUGGUUAAAAUGUGCUAUAGCUCCCUGCCCUCUUUGUACAUUUGUAAUUUAGUCUUACUACUUUUAUUUUAACUAAUUUUAUCCUUCUACUUUUUGGAUCUAAAAUUAUUAAAAUUAUUCUAUUAAAUUCAAACUUAUUACAACUGUUUUUUUUUUGUUAUAUGACUAUCAAGUGGGUAUUUUUUAUUUUAAAACAUCAAAUCAAUGAAUUUAAUAGAAAAAUUUUAACAGUGCUAAUAAUUAAACUUAUAAAAAAAGUAAAGAAGUUCCUAUAAAUAAAAGUAAAAGAACUAUAUGUUGAAUAUACAAAAAGUACAAAAACUUAAUACAUUUUUUAACUCAAAAUAGAUAAAUAAAUGAGAAAUAAAGCAUACUUUAGUUCGUGUUGUCAACUUAGUUCCUUAAUUUUAUUUUUCACAUUAAUCUUUAAACUUGACAAAAUUAAUAAAAAUUUUCAAAUUCAAAGAGUAAACGGUGCCUUUCACCCAGAAAAAUUAAAAAAAAAGGUUUAAUUCUAAAUUUCAUCUCUCUAUGUUAAGAAAGUUGAGAAAUUCAUCCUUAUCAUUUAAUUUGUCAAAAUUUAAUCUGUACUUUAUGAAAAAUGAGAAAUUAAUCCAAUUAUUAGUUAAAUACAUAAAUUUGAAGAGUUUAUUUUUGCUAUACAAAUUACAAAACUAUUACUAACUCUUUACAUAUAAAAUUAAUGAACGGUUAAUUUUCAAGUCAUCGAUCUAUCAUGAUAUUAUCUAAUUUGAUCAACUUCUUAAUUUUUGUAAAAACAAAUUCCGACAAAUUAAAACAGAGGAAUAAAAGUACGAAAUUAGAAUUAAACCUUAAAAAAUUUAGAAAAUAAUAAUAAUGAUUAAUGAGUGAAAACUGGGGUGUAGUUUGGAGAAGGGAAAUGAACGAUGGGAUUAGGCGGUUGUGUUGAGUAAUUGGAACUGUUUCUUGGAUUGGGCCUCCAUUAAUGGCAGAGUAGCCCAUGCCCAACACAAACAAAACCCUCCUCUUUCUCCACCAGCAGCAGAGUAGCUUCGAAGAACACAGCAAUGCCGAACUCUUUCAGGACCCUCUCCAAAACCCUCACCCGCUCAUUCUCCACCAAAUCAUCCCACCAGAACCACCACCAGAAAACCCACAAAUAUUUAGAUCCCAACUCCUUGUUGGGCAGCUGGAAGACCCCCAACAACCCCAAAGAGCCGAGAAGAAACUCGCCCUGUUGCGACGAGACUACGCCAAGCAAGUAAAAAAUGUACGCAAGGAGUACAUCCACGAGAUGGAGUUGUUGCGUCUUGAGAAGCUCAGAAAAGAAGAGGCUAGGAAAGAGGCUAUACGAGUUGCUAAUGAGGAGCGUAAAAGGCUUAAGGCUGAGGCUGCUAGGGUUAGAGCUCAAGAGCGUAUCGUUGCUGAAGAAGAGUUUCGACAAACCCUGGUAAUCUUCUACCACUCAUACUUUGUUUCUUGAAUUUUAUGAUGAAUUUCAGUUAUAAAAUUAAAAAAAUUGGAAAUUGGGAUUGGUAGGUUUGUUUAAGUGAAACACCAGAUUCAAAACCCUAAUUUCCUUUGCCUAUCUUUCGAUUAUGUUAGUUUAUAUAUAAAAUAAAGUUAAUGUUCAGUUAAGAAAUUAAAUUUUAUUGUUACCUUUAUUCGUUAGUUUAAGUUGAGUAGGAGAAUCUCCCAAGCCUAUCCAUUUGUUCCAUUGAAUCGACGAACUAAAUUUAUACUGGCAUUUACACUUUGACUGUAUGGAUAUCCUAUAUCAUAAUAGUUGUUAUCCCUUGAUGCCUUGGUGGAUAUGGUUGAUUCUCAUUCUACCAUGGCUAGGUGAUAUGGUAAUUACGGUUGAUCUCGGUCAACAUGAUGAUAUACUUCUGCUUACUACUAACAUUAUUGAGUUUGAAGUUGAGCAUGGGAAUUGAGCCGAUCUCAAGCAGCUGGAUUUUUUUUAAUCUUAUUGAUUUUGUAUCAAGCUCAAGUUUCUUUCAGGCUUGAGCUCAACUCGGCCUGGUUAAGCCCCUAGCCUUACCUUAUAUCUAUGGCCCUAUUUCUACUUCUCAAUUUGAAUAUGAAGUUACUUGAUCCUUCAAAUCUUGGUCUUUAUCAAAUGGUCAAGGUUCUAUUUCCAUGAAUGCAGUUGAAAGAAAGAGCAGAAAAGCUUGAAAAUUGGAGAAUGAAACAAACGCUACAUGAGAAUAAGAAGAAAGAGGCGAAAGAUCUAGUGCGUAGAAGAAGUUCCAUGUGGAUUGAAGAACAGGAAUUGGAGAGUAAGAUCUUUAGUGCCAUUGUUUUUUAACUGAUUUUUCCUUUAAAUUCGAAGAACAUAAAAUAAGGAUUUUACGUGAAUCUAGUGACUAAUGGAAAUGUUUGUGUACUGUUUGUUUUUCUCUGUUAAAACCCUGCAUCAAUGUGGUUUGUUGGUAACAGCUUCAUUGAAGAUUUAUAGUAAGUUUUGGACUAUUAUUCAAGCAUGCAUAUAUAUACUUUAUUGGCUGAAUGCUAUUCAACUGUUCAAGUGAAUCAGCUUGUCUCUCACUCUUGCCUUUAUUGCCUUUAUUGCCUUUAUCCUACUCUUUUCUUCUACAAACAGACCACACUGUUGGUCUCUAAACCUUCUGAGCUAACAAUGUAAUCCGCUGGUUGCUUUAACCCUUUUUCAAGCUAUGCUUUUGGAACUUGAGAUGAGUGUUGGAUACAUGCUUGAUACAGCUAUGCUCAACUUUAAGCUUUUCUAUAUAUGUAUAUACAUAUAUUGUAACUUUAUAUACAAUCAAUCUGGGCAAGUAUGUUAUGGAAUGUGGAAGAGACUUGAAGAUUCUAUACAAGGCCUGUUAAAUACGAGCCUGCCUGACAGUUUGCAGAAAUGAUGAUGCUUCCGUCGAUUAACUUUUUGAGUUUUGCAAACAAAAUGUUAUCCAAGUUGGAUCUUAUAGAGCUUGAAAACCAAGUUCCCUCUGACAAUGAAGAAGAAAGUCCAAUUAAUUCCGUUCUUUGGUCUUCUGUGUCUCCUGAUUACUGAACAGUGCCUUAAAGAAAAUCAGUAGCCCCCAAGGGAUCUCAACAGGAGAAACUAACAAAGACCGUGGUUCUCAAUCUAAUCUCCCAUGUACCAUCAACUCAUACAAUAGCCCUAAUAGUGUUUUUUAGUUUAAAGCCUAAAAAACAUAUUGAUCUUAAGCUUUGAAACUGGUACAAAAGGAAAAUUCCAGGGUUGAGAGUUGGAAGACAAAACAGAGCGAAUCUAGCAUAUCAACAAUUCUGGAACAAACGACAUCAUGGAAUCUCAUGGCAUAUGAACAAUUAAAAGACCAACGGACCUUGUUCACUUUAUUUUACAAAAGGGUGAGGGAAUUGGAAGAACUGACAGAAGAAUAAGAUGUAAAAUUAUGGGACAGACUACUUCCCGUUCUUUUUUUCUUUUUCUUUUUUUUUAUUUUUUUCCUGGAAAAGACUAGCAUUACUCUAAAAAUAAAGUCCCAACAAUACUAUCAACAUUCAAUUAUCAUGUACAUCCUUUUCUUAAAGACACAAAAAGGGAAAAAAUGAAUUGUGAUUCCUAUGCCUGCUACCGGCCUGCCAAAAUCACUAGGGAGCAAGUUUUUUACUGGCUCUUUGGUUUUUGAAUCUUAACGUAUGGGAAAAAUCCCAAGAAGUGAACAACUUUUGGGUCCCAUUCUCGCUGCUGAGCACGACAAAACAUCAGAAAUGUGUUGGCGAAAUAUGAAUUGAAGCCCAUCAAGACAUGCCAAAGCGCAUGACCCUGAGGGUUGAAGUACCAACUAGAUAUCUCCUUGCAGAACAACCUGUCGGCAAGCCAACAAAUACUCCCCAGGAAUAAUGUUGCUACAUAUAACUUUGCUAGUCGCUUUGCAGAGGCAUCUUCAGUGUAGAUGUAGUAUUUGUACAUGCGAGGGAUGCAGAGAAGGCAGAGAAUGACAUAAUGCACCUUGAAGCCAAUUCCAAAGCGUAAGAGAGCAUGGACUAUUGCAAAUCCAACUCCAUAAAGGAACAGGAAAGUAGGCAUUGUGCUUCGAUAGUGCCAAUCUGGUGAGUAGAGGAUGUAAAAGUAUAGAAGCAUUUCCCAUACCAUCGGUGUUUCAUCACCUUGCUGUUGCCUGAAAUAAAUUAAAAGAAUUUCACUUCAAAACCAACUUGGCAAAUAAAUAACUGCUUUAAAUUUUACAAGUCUUCAAAAUAGGAGAAAUGAAUGUUUUCUCGAGUAUAUUUCCCAUGGGUGCCUACUUUCUAGAGUAAAAGAUAAAAAGGUUUUCCAUCAAAAAGAGAUGAUACCAGAAACAGUAAUGAUUUAUCAAAUAAACCCUCAGUUUUUAUUCAUUAUUUCCGCGAAGCCAAAAAAGAAAAAAAGUGGAAAUGAAAAUAAGCUAUUCAAUUGUAGACAGAAUUGCAUGGGGCAGAUACAUUUACCAGCCUAGCUACUACAAUCAAGCAGCCCCCAGUGAACUUCAAAAGACAACAAUAUAAUUAGCAUAUAGGAUCUGCAGAUCCAAUGCCCCAUAAAAGGAGUCCCUCCAUUCUAUCUAUGAUUACAAGCAAUGAAAAGUUUUAACAUUCAGGUUAUCAACAACGUCAAAUGCCUUUUGCAUCACAUCAAACUAAUAAAAGUACUGCAGCGCCUUCUCUUUAUCUUAGUGUUUCAUUGUUCGUAUUCUGGAGGGAAACAGAGACACACACAUUAACAUGGAGCUAGGUGUAAGCCUUUAUGGGAAAAGGAUGAAAAUAAAAACUAUAAAAUCUACUUUUCAAGUAAUAGAUUUAAAACAAAAUGAAGGGUAUGAGUUAGUACGAUCUAGUAAAAAACAACCUGAUGAAAUAAAGGACUAAAAGCCCAAAUACACUAGUGAAACUUAUGAAAGGAUGUAAAAGGUAGAAAUAUAGAAGGGAUCAGAUAUUGAAAUAUUGCCUUUUGAAGCCUUUCAAAUUUCCCGUCACCUUCACCAAAAAAGAAAGGAAAAGAUGGAAACAUAGGCAUUAGUCCAAUACAUCUUGGAAAGAUGUGCUCAAGGAACGCCAGAGCAAAGGGAGCCAUUCACAGAAGUGCAGACAAGUCAAAAAAGAGCUUUAGGCAUAACAUCAUUUUUUUUAUUCGUCCAAUGAAGCUUUUGAACCUAAGACAUUAAUCAAACAUUACUUCUGCCAAAGAGUACUUUAUUCAAGUUUGACAACAGGUGGAUGUCCAUUUCCGGUGGUAAGAAUAAGAAUUAAAACUUAGGCUAACUGUAGUAUUUGCUACUUAUGGAGUCAGACUACCACACAAGUAGGUAGCGAACUCCUGGAACCAAUCAAACAAGGAGAAAAAUGCUCUUCCAAUCUGACAUAUAAAAACAAUACUAACAUUAGAUCUUUGUUAGUAAGACAUUCACCUAAUACCUGAAGAAUUUUGAGGGAACACAAAUGCAAAUGUAAGAGUUGAAAAGAAUACUUACAUAUGUUGCAGUGUGGAAUGGUAUAGCAUGCUUCCAAUGGCAAGUAUCAUGUUAGAUACGUGAAGGACACUAAAUCUCUUCUCAAAUCGUUGUCUUAACGCAUUUAUAAGGCCAAUGAGUGCCAAAAGAAUACAUGGGACAUUGGAUAUUGUGUUGAAAAACUCUGCAAUGUAAGAUGAGUAAACAUAGUUUUUCUCACACCACUCAGCAGCUGUGACAGGACCCCAGAAGCUAGACAAUCCACCUUCCAUUCUAAACUGAACACGCCAAAGGUGUAUAAUUCUUCAACUGAGACACCUUUUGCUAUAAUUUCAUAAAUGUCAUAGAUGCUGCAAUUUAUGUCCAUAAGAGUUGCGAUUGUAUGGUCAAUAAAGCAUGGUAAACAAUUAAACAACACGUCAAACUAGCAAGUGUACACCAAUUCAGACACAUACUUGGCCAAAUUAAAAAGGGCCACAGGGCAUAGCAUAAAGGGAAUAUCAGAAUAGAAGAGAAACACGAAUUGACAUUUUAGCAUUAGUUCAUAAAGUUUUCUCACAGAAGUCUCAAUAUAAGGUAAAUUCAUUUUUGACAUCAGACUCCGCAGAACUCCACAUUAAGGAACUUAAAAACCUUUUACGCUAGCUGUAUUAGGAUUCCUGCAUCCAUCUGAUGCAAUUUUACAUUAUUUUUGCCUUUAAAACCAUUUUCAACCUAUUCAACGGCAAUCUGUUCUGUUUUCAGAACACCAAAACAGACUAGGCAUCUAAAGACAGGUAUAGAUCUAGAAAAUAAGUCAAGAACAGAAACCCACAAUUACUACCUAGAAUGCAUGUAACACCUGCUUGCCACAUUGUGAGUUUCAGUAAGAAACUUUUUUAUCUCAGUUUCUAGCUUAUCCGUCCAUAUUUAGUUCCACUCAUCUCUGUGCAGCAAACGACAACUAUAUACUCCAAAACAGAUCUCUAUACAAAAAAAGGAACUAAAAGUAACUGCUUACUUGACGCAGGAGCUUUUAAUUUUUCAUUUUUUUAUUCCAGUAAUAUUUAUUAAUUAUUAGACAUUUUGUGGAUGACUGGAUCUAGGAUUAUAAGAUAUUUUUAGAGUUUAAAUCUAGGGCUAAGAUAAAAACUUCAUUUGCAAGAAAGCCUAGUAAAAAUAAAUCGAAAGCUUUACAGCCAACAUCAUUAAUAUUGUUCUCUAUAUAAAAUAUGAACUAAAAGUAAGUGCUUAUUAGACGCCAGAGCUUUAAAAUUUUAUUUAUUUAUUUCAGUAAUAUUUAUUAAUUAUUAGACAAUAUUGCGAAUCACUAGGGCUACGAUUAUUAGUUCUUUAGCGUUUAAAUCUAGGGCUAGGAUUAAAAGUUUAUUUGCAAGAAAGUCUAAUAUUAGUAUAAAUAAACGUAAGCUUUACAGCAACAAUAUUGUUAUUGUUCUUAUUAUUUUCAUUGUAUUAAUAGAGAAAUACUAGAGGCUCUUUUAUAACCAUAAGUUUUCUAGAGUUCCAACUUACUUACUCGUUUAUUCAACCUAAUUCUAUUGAUUUACUUUUGUUUUUCCCUAAACCACAUCAUUAUUUUCAUAUUCCUCAACACAAACUUGAAAACCAUUCUACUUCUGGUCCUUCCUGCCACUGUCAUCUAAAGAAAUAGUAAUACCAUGCUGCAGAAAGCUACAUAGCACAUCCCAUAUGAUCCAAACAAUUCAUCCCAUUAUCAGACUCCUAUAUGCGCAGCAAUCUUAUCAAAUUCCAGUAAAAGUUGGUAACUGCAUAUCACUUUGGUUCUAUGUGGACCUGUUUAAUAAAUUUCUUUUUAACUCAAACAAGGAGUUAAACCUUCAGCCAAUUAACUACCGAGAUCCAAUUUUGCUAACCUUAAAACUUCCGCUAAACCCAUUUCGUAUAAUGAAUCUGACAGAACCUUAAAUUGAAGCACUUCAAAUUUCCAUCCAUCUUUAACCAAAGCUUUGAAUCUAAGCAGGGGCAGAUCCAGGGUGCGGGCCCUAAAAUGGAAAACUUGCCCUUUUAGCCUUUUAUAAUUUAUAAAAUUUUACCCCAAAAUAUAAAAAUUAUAAUUUUGAUCUUUUAAAAAUUAUAAAGACAAUAGAUUAUUAAAAUGAUCAAAUUACAUUUUUUUUCAUAGGAAAAAUAUAACUUAAUUCCGGCCCACAAAAAGUCCCUGAAUCUAAGUUCCUUCCUACCUAGAAAACAGCCUUGGCAGACUGAAAGCUCCCAUAAGGAAGUUCCCGGAUCCCAACUUAUUCUCAGGAAAGACAACCUGCAACUGUAGCACUUAAAUGCCCUCUUCAAACGCCAGUUCUUUCUACUCUAUUUAUCUACCUUGAGAAAAACCAAUAACAAAAUUCAGAAAUUGGAGAAGAGGAAAACUACAAUUCAACCAUCCAUAAAUCAUAAAGCACUACCCUCCAAAACCCUCAACCCAAAGAAGCAUUCCUUUGAAAUUUGACCUAAUCUAGUAAUACUUCCUCAAAAAGCAAAAAAGUAAAAGGUUUAAAUGUCAAAGCUUGGGCAUACAUUUUACCAAAAAUGGAAGCCAAAAAAAUAGAAAAAGGAAAAGAGAAGAGAAAAUGAAAGUGAAAGUGAAAUAGAAGCUAACCUUUUAAAGCAAAUCAGAUCUGACGUUGCAUACGAAACCAAUUUACAAACAUCUCUUUUCGCAGUUUCUUUCUUUUUAAAUAUGUUGGGGCUUCUUUUUCUUUUUUUUUUUAAUUUUUUGGUUAUCGGAGGGAAAAAUAAUAGAAAGAAAAAAGGGUGAAACAGAAACUGGGGGUGGAAGGAAGCGAGGGCCGCGUAGAGUGGAAUAUUUAGGGAAAGGAGGAGGAAGGCAUUUUUGUAGACGUUGGAUUAAGAUGUUCGACGGCUGAGAUUUUCGGGACUAAAGAUCGAAUCUUCGCUGAUUUUAUUUGAUUGAUUGAUGGUAUGAAUAUAUUUUAAGUAAUAAAAGGAACAUAUUUAAACAGUCCGCUCUACAACACCAAGUACAGAUAUAGUAAGUGAAACAAUUGCAUUACAUAGCCAUUAAUAAAGCCGUCAACUGAAGGACCAGAGGCACAAAAUCACUUUUCAAGACACCAGCAUUCCGGUUUCCUUUCUGAAAAUAUAUCUAAUUAAUCAACCAACCCUGCAAUCAAUUAGGAUUUUUCUACCCAACUAUCAAAAAAUAAUAUUUACAAGAAUAGCCUAUCUUAAAAAAUAAUAAUGGGAUGAUAUGAAAUGUUAAAGUAUCUGGCAACGUCGACCGCAACUAAUCAAUCAUCUUCUAAUCAUUAGCUAUUGAGUGUAUGGGGUUUAAAAAAAAAAAAUUAGUGCUGGCGCUACAAUGACCAACACUCGUCUGUAUUAUUUCAUGUAUAUUUUAAAAAAUAUGAGUAUGUUGAAAAAAUAUGCAAAUCACAUGUUGAAUAAGAAUAAUUACAUAUUAUAUUAUUUAGUAUCAUAAAAUAUUAGUCCAAAUUAAAAAUGAUUUAAGUUGGUUAAGGCUUAUUAGGCUUUAGUUAUUAAAAAAAGAAUGAGUCAAAUAUGUGUAGAUAUUCUAGUAAUUAAUUUAUAAUUGAUGAUGUGCUAAUUAGAAAUUAGAAUUAAUGUAUAAAAGUUAUAUAUUAAGGUUAUAGUCCCCAAAUUACACAUAAUGUAGCUUUUUUGAUAUCCCAUCUUUAGAAAAGAGAGAGUCACAUUCCUUAUGUGUGCUAAUUUGGAAUUUCAAAACCAUAAGAUUCUAAGAUUUCAAGAAAUUGAUGAAUUCAUGCACACUUCUACAUCUAGUUUUUUUAUUAUUUAUUCUUAAUUAUUUAACGUGACAGAUCUUGAUUUACAGUUUUAAGUUUAUAUUAGAUCUUGUUUUUACGGUUCUAACAAGUAGUAUCAGAGUCUCGUCAUGUCGGAUCAUUGAGGAAAAAAUAAUUUUUUUGUUUUUUUUGGAUCAAUUUGUUCUUAAGAUUUUAUGAGAUUUGGUAUCUCAAUCAUACAUAUGUUAAAUAUUUGAUAUUCAUAAUAAAAGUUUUAAGAUUUUUUAUUCUUAGAAUUUCACUUUUAGGGUUUCAAUACAAUUUGAACCCUUAAAAAGAAAAUAAUAUUGUACAAUUAAAUUUAAUAUAUGUUAUAAUUCACAUUUGACCAUUGAGAUUGAAUUUCAUGUACAAUUGAUGCCACCGUUUUUGUUCUCUUUCGCAUUAUGUGCGAUUUUGUUCUUUUCUUUUCACACAAUUGCUUUAUUUCAUCAUAAUUGCUUUGUUUCAAUUCAUGCUUUGAUUAUUAAGUUCAAUAUCUACUUGGAUGUUUGGGGCUUUAAAGGGAGCCAAAGUUUUUUAAUUAAAAUAGAUCAGGCUUUCGAAUGCAAUGGCGCUGGGUAAAGCCAUUACUUUUUUUUUUAUUUUCAUUUUUUAUACAUAUUAAUAGUGAAAUUGGGUUUAAUUACAUGUUAUUCUUCAAAAUUAUUGAUAAAUUUUUAUGGAUUCAAUUAUGGUUUUCUGUUAAAUUGGUAGAUGGAUAUUCAUUGAAGUUAAUUUUUUUAUAAAAAAUAUAUAUUUAAUUUUAUGGGAGUUUUGAUGUAAAUUCAUGCUAAACUUAUGCUUGUUUAAAGAAUUUAAUUUUAAGUUUAGUUCUAUAAUAUUAGGUUUUGACAUCUUAUUGUUUUAAAUAUUUGGUUAAAUUAUGAUGAUGUGGUUUAUUAUAUGAAUUGUGGAAUAUAUAAACUAUUAUGAUAUUUUUUUUGAGAUUUAUUAGUUUGAAAAUAUUUUUCAAUUAUUCAUGCGAAUCUCUGUUUAAUCAUAAAUAUAAUUGAGGAUUUACAUAGAAUGUGCAGGGUGCAUGAGUUUUUCUAUUUGAUUAUGAAUACAUGUAUAAGCAUAAAUUGCUUUGGUGUUUUGUCUAUACUGAAAUUAUAAAUACAUGUGCUUGUUAAUUAUUUGGUAUUAUACCACUACAUUAUUUAUGUUUAGUUUUGACAUAUAUGGUUUUAAAAAAUAGGUUAAAGAUUAAGGUUUUCGAUUUUUUAUUACUUUAUUUAGACAACAUUAUUUUAAGUUAUUUCGGAAAUAUAAAAUAAUAAAAAUUUUUAGUUUUGACCAUUAACUGUUAUGAAAAUUUUAAAUUUGAAUAUUGAUAUAUAUAUUUUAAAAUAACUUAAUUGAAAUAAUAAGUUGCCAAAGUGACCUUUGUUAUUGAAAUUAUUUUGUUUUAAAAUAUAAAAGGUUGCGUGCAUGUAACUUAAGCUACGUUAAUAUUGAUCGGCUCAAAGUAAGACUAUUGAACAAAAUUAUAUGUGCAACUGUGGUAAUAAAUAAGUGAUGAUUAUUUGGUUUUACAUGUGAGUAAUAAAUUGGCCCAAAGGAAGAUUUAUUAUUCGAUAUAUUUUUAUUGUCAAUGUUUGAUUACUACAAUAAGAUAUCACUUAUAAGUUAAUAUUUUUGUCCAAAGAUGAAAUAUUAAUGGAGUGUUAAAUAUCUUGAGAUGAGAUUUACCUUUAUUUGAAUUAUUUUGGUUUAAAUUUGAAAUAUUUUAAAACAAAAAAAUUCAAAUUUUGGCUUUAUGGUUUAAUUAAGGAUGUUUAAUAUUUUAAAUAGAUUAAUUAAAACAAAAUAUCACCAAAGUGACCCCUUUUGUGUAGAUUAGUUUAAUUAAAAUAUCAAGAUUAUUAUAUGUUUUUGUGAUUCAUGCGUUUAUUAAUGAACCCAAAGGUAAGUUAAUAUUUGGCAGAAUUUCAACGAUAUCUGUGGUGGUAAAUGUGUAACAAUUAUAAAGUACUUUAUGUGAGCAAUAAGUUAGUCCAAAGAUUGAUUUGUUGUUUGACAUAAUUUAUUAUUGAUGUUUGAUUGCUAUAACAAGAGUAUUGCUUACAAUUAAUAUUACUGUUCAAAAACUUGAUAUUAAUGGUGUAUUUGGCAUCUUGAGAUGGGAUUAGCCACUAUUUUAAAUUUAUUGUUUACUUAUGAAUAUUGAUGUAAACUUGUUUUUAUCUAUUUUGUUCUAUAUUCAGCUACUUCAUCUUCUGCUGCCACAAUAUCUGCCACUAUAAAUUCUAUACUCAUGCUUAUUGAGGCUAACUUCAUGGAAUGGAAAAGACAUUUACUUAUAAUGCUUAGCUUUAUGGACAUAGACCUUUCACUAAGCGAAAAAUAACUUACACCUCUCAUUACGAAAAGCCACCCUGAAGCUAAAAGAGAUUUUGAAAGGUGGGAUCAUUCAAAUUGCAUGAGUAUAAUGAUAAUUAAGCACAAACAUUCCAAAAGCCUUUAGAGGCAUAGAAUCUGAAGAGAUUAUUCAGGCUAAGGGUUUCCUUGAUGAAAUUGAGAAACUUUUUGCUAAAAACGAUAAGGUUGAGAUGUCAUCAUUUCUGAAAUCUUUGAUGUCUAUGAAGUAUAAGGGUCAAAGAAACGUGAGGGAGUACAUUAUGGAGAUGUUUCAUAUUUGAUGUGUGUUUUCCGUACUAACUAAAAUUUAUGACAAAGGCAAGCGCACUUAUUGAAUAAUAAUAUAGCUACUGUGAGUAGAGAUAUCGUAUCCACGAGGACUAAAAAUAUUAGUAAUUACCAUUUUCUUAAUAUUUAGCUGACAAUUUGGAGUGAUGAGUUUUAAUCUAAAAUUACUAAACUAAUUUAACUAAGAACACAAUAGAGAAUGAAUCAGGAAAAUAAUCGAAAGAUAACCAAUGAGAGAAAUAAUAACCAGGAAAGAAUCCGCCUAGACUCCUUCUAUUAUUAUUAAUAUGAUUUAAACGAUUUAUUCACUAUGUGCCUUGAUCCGUAAAAAUCCCUAAAUUAUGCUAAUAUCUCUUUCGAGAGUAGAAGCAAUUGACUUUAGGUUGAUUAAUUGAAAUCUCUUUCUAAUUAAAACCCCUACUAUUGCAUUAACUUGAUCUAUGGAUUCCGCUAUUAGAUUUGACUCUAAUCCGGUAGAUUUAUGUCGUCCUAUUUCUAGGAUUGCAUGCAACUCCACUCAAUUAUACUAGAUCUACUUUUAAACAUGGACUUUUGCUCCACUGAAUUAAGCACAGUAAACAUGAAUUAAUAUCCCAAAAAUAUUAAAAGAAGAAAUAAGCACACAUAAUUGAGAACAAGAAUCAAGUAUUUAUCAUGUAAAACAGAAAUUAAAUAAUAGAAUUCGUCAUAGGUUUUAUCCUCCCUAGGUAUCUAGGGAAUUAGUUCAUAAUUCUGAAAUAAAAUAUCUCAAAGUCAGAAUAACCACAAGACAUGAAGAAACUCAUAAAAAAUUCAAAAGAAAUUAAAAGGAGGUAUUCGAUCUUGAUGGAAAUCUGCUUUAGAGUUGGCUCCAAUGGUGUUCUUCGAUGUUUUCUUCGAUCUUCUCUGAUGGCCCCAUAUCUCUUCUUCUAUUUGAUGCUUAUAGACUUUAGAAUGCUCAAAAAGCCUAAAAAUUGUGUUUUUUCGCGUGUUUGGGAAGCAGGUUACGAAAUCGACAUGGACUGGCACUUGGGCGUGUGCCCAACCCAUGUGGCUCCUAAAAUCUACUUUUUUCUCCAAUUUUUGUUCCUUUUGCUCCCAAAUGCUCGCUUAAGUAUAAGAACAUGAAUUAAAGGGAUUAGGAGCAUCAAAUUCACCAAUUUACAUAAAUAAUCAUCCAAAAAUGUAUUAAGAAUGGGAUUAAAAUAUGUUAGUUUUAUCAUUUAUCAAUGUUGCUUCAAGACUUAAGGCACUUAAAGAUAAAACUUUCAAAGAAUUGCUUGUUCUUAUGCUUUUGGUAUCACUUCCUGCACAAUUUAACCAAUUUAAAAUUAGUUACAACUAUCAAAAGGAGAAAUGGACUCUAAAUGAGCUCAUUUCUCAUUGUGUGCAAAAGGAAGAAAGAUUGAAACAUGAUAAGUCUAAAAGAGCUCAUUUGGUCGGUGCCUCUAAAGACAGUAACUUACAUUAUGAAUAGAGUACCCAUUAAAGUAGUAGCAAAAAUACCUUAUGAGUUUUGGACAGGUCGAAACCCUAGUGUAAAACACUUUCACAUUUAGGGAAUUUUAACUAAGGCAAGGCCUUAUAAGCCACAUGAAAAGAAAUUGGACUCUAAAAUUGUGAGCAGCUACUUUAUUGGUUAUUUUGAGCGAUUUAGUGGUUAUAAGUUUUAUUAUCCCACAAUUAAGAAUAUUUUUGUGGAAACUACAAUAUUUUUAAAAAUGUUGAGUUUAGAAGGAGAAAUAAGGUUAGAGACGUUUCUUUUGAGGAGGAGUUGGAUUCUAACUUAGUUCCUACUAUCACUUUUGACGAUGAUUUAGGUUUUCAUACCUAUCACUGAUCAAGAAGUGAAUCUAGAACCUGAUCAAGACAAUGUUGAACAACUUCUUAUUUAAGAUUAGGUAAUUAUUCCAAAAGAACAAAUUCAACAACCUCAAAAACUAAUGUCAUUAAGAAGGUCCAUUGUAAAAGGAGUUAUAAUUUCUUUAGUGGCAUAUGUUGACGUUAAGCUAAAUUAGAUGGAUGCUAAGACUAAGUUUCUCAAUGGUAACAUUUAUGAGAUGAUUUAUAUAGUGCAACCUGAAAACUUUGUGUUUGGUAAUCCAGAGUCAAUAGUUUGCAAAUUAAAAAAAUUUUAUUUAUAGGCUUAAGCUAGCCUUUGGUUAGUGGUGUUACAAUAUUUACCAAAUGAUUAUCUUAUUCGGUUUAAAGUUGAAUUUGGUCGAUAAUUGCAUAUACCACAAGUUUAAUGAGAGUGAAGUUCUAUCUUUGGUUUUAUAUGUUAAUGACAUACUGCUUGCCAAUAAUAAGUAUACUCUCAAUCAAUGCCCUAAGAAUGAUUUCGAGAUUAAGAAAAUGCUUAAGAUUCCCUACGUCUCAAGAGUGAAAAGUCUAAUGUAUGCUCAAGUAUGUACGUGUCUGGACAUUGUGUACACUGUUGGGAUGUUAGAUAGAUAUUUAAGCAACCCUGGUAUGGAACAUUUGAUAGCAACCAAGAAGGUUAUGAGGUAUCUUCAGAGAACAAAAGAUUACAUACUCACAUAUCGGAGGUCUGAGAAGUUAGAGAUCAUCAGGUUUAUAAACUCCAAUUUUGAUGGAAUAUUGAUGCAAAAUUUUGUCACUAGGGUGCAAAUUGUGACAAUAAUUGGUAGUCCUUUAUUCUAAUAACAACAGGAGAACAACAAAGUCAAAACACAUAGACUUUAAGUUCCUGGCUAUUAAAGUAAAAGUUUAGAGUGGUUAUGUAAUGCCCCCACGCCCGAGACCGUCGCCGAAGUCGAGUAUGAGGUGUUACUAAGCUUAAUUUAACAUUUUUAGAACUUUGGAUUAUUUGUUUCUACAUUCACAGCUUUUAAGCUACUUGCGUCACAGUCACAAGAAAAAUCAUAUCUCGAGUUACGAAACUCGAAAUCAAUAUCCAUAAAUUUUCCCUAAAUCUAGACUCAUAUACCUAUCUACUAAUUUUUUUAUAAAAUUUUUUGUGGGGCCAAUUAGUACAGUUUAUUAGUUAAAGUUACCCCUGUUUCAGGACUUGACUGGUCUGACCUCUGUUUACUACGAACCACAUUUCUCUCUGUAAAAAAUUCAUAUGACUAUGAGGUUUGUUUCUCCUAAAACUAGACUCAAUAAGGAUUCUGAGGAUAUAAAAUACACCACCUAAUUAUAUCUUUUUUACAAUUUAUGGUGAAUUUCUAAAGUAGGAACAGGGGAUUCAGAAACUGCUAUGACCCUGUUUCACUAAAAUUCAAAUAUCUUCUAACAUAUAAUUCCUUUACCUGUUUCAUUUGUUUCAUGUGAAACUAGACAUAAUAAGCUUCAAUUUUAUAUGUAGUCCAUCACCAAAUUCAAUUGCUAUGAUUUUUAGUAAAUUUUCAAACUCACAUCAGUGUUGCUGUAGUAUUCUGUUUAUGGCAAAUUUCAUCCCUCUUAUGAGUUUUUAUGCACUAAGUAUCUUAAUAAUUUUCCUUAUCAUCAAACAUAAUCUAAACUUACCAUUUUCAUAAUUUAUCAUUAUCAAAUAUUUUCUCAACCAUUCUGUCACCAUAUCAUAAAAUCAUUUACACAAAAUAAGUAUAUUGCUAUAUAUGCCAUACUUAAAUUUACAAGCCAUUUACCAAAAAUCUUCCUGAUAGUGUGACUGAGCCUUCGACCUAUCCCGACUCCUGAACUGGCUUGUCCAAAACUACAAUGAGUAAGAAGGAGGGAGUAAGCAUAAAUGCGUAGUAAGUUCAUAUGUAAAUAAUAAAUAUCAUAACAAACAAUCAAACUAAUCAACAUAAGCAUAUAUCAUCAACACACUUAUCACAUUUUUUAAUCAUUUUUCAUCAUCUUAUUACCUUAUCGUGGUUGUAAUCAACACUCAACCCGAGGGUUAAAUACAUACCUGUCCAAAAUAUCCAUUUCUCAUCACUUACCAAUACGUCUCUUUUCAUCUCGAGUAUUCCUCCAUUUGAGUAAAACUUUACCCGUUGAACACAUCGGAAUAUAAUUCGGAUACAUGGAUAAUUUGCAUAUAAGUGCCACAUAUUCAAUCAAGCAAUCAUGUAACCCGCCCAUAAGCGAACUCGGACUCAACUCAACGAGCUCGGGCAUUCGCAUCCAUAAGUGAACUCGGACUCAACUCAACGAGUUCGGACAUUCGCAUCCAUAAGUGAACUCGGACUCAACUCAACGAGUUCGGAUGCUCAACCAUCCUAGUGACAUGUCACUUGUAUCCUAAUCUAUUCCUAAGGUUCAAACGGGCUUUUUCCUCGAACACUUAUCCUUGCCGUCUCCCGUAGAAUGCCGAAAUCAAUACUCAGUAACAAUUAUAUUUAACAAGUAGCUCACAUAAUUUACAUAUUAUUUGAAAUUAACCACAAAGCAUACAUUUCAUAAUAAAAUUCAGCAUAACAUAAAAUUAACAUCAAUAACUUAAAAAUAACCAUUAUGCUACAUUAUUUACACAUGAACUUACCUUGGUACCAAAAUACAAGGAUUUUGCAAUCUAGUCCACGAUCUUUUCUUUUCCUCGAUUGAGGUCGAUUCCAUGUCUUUCUUGAUCUAAAAUAACACAUUUAGCUUAUUUAAUACUCACAUUAUCAAAUUAAUCCUUACCUCAAAUUUUGGCAAAAUUACAAUUUUACCCCUAAACUUUUGCAUAUUUACAUUUUUGCCCCUAGACUCGGGAUUAAACUUUAUUCCUUAUUCUUAUGUUUUACAACAUGCUGAUCACUUUUCUCUUCUAUGGCAACAUCAAAUUCUCACCCUAACAUGUACUUGUGGCUAUUAGGUAUUUUUACCGAUUAAGCCCUUUUACUCGUUUUUGCUUAAAAUCGAGUAGUACAAGUUGUCUAACAUAAUUUAAAACUUCAUAUUCUAUCAUAAAACAUCAAAAUACACAAAUUUCACCUAUGAGUAUUUUUCCAAAUAUAAACCCUAGGUUAAAUUAUUGCUAACAUAAGCUUUAUCGAGUUACCGGGAUCUCAAAAACGUAAAAAUCAUUAAAAACGGGGCUUAGAAUCACUUACUAUGGAGCUUGGAAGCUUGAAACAAACCCUAGCUAUGGAGAACCCUUGAAAUUUCGGCCUAAUGAAGAAGAUGGACAAAAAUUGGCUUUUAAUUUUGUUUUUAAUUCAUUUUAAUAACUAAAUGACCAAAAUACCCUUACUACUAAACUUUCCAAAAUUUCCUUCCAUGUCCUAAAUUUGUCCAUUAAUUUAAAAUUGGUCAAAUUGCUAUUGAAGACCUCCUCAUUAAUAUUCCAAAACAAUUUCAUACUAAAAACUUCUAGAAUGCAAGUUUUGCAACUUAUUCGAUUUAGUCCCUACUUUCAAUUUAAGCACUUUAGGCAUAGAAUUUCAUCACGAAAUUUUCACACAAUCAUGCAAUCAUAUCAUAAUCAUCAAAAUAAUUAUAAAAUAAUUAUUUCUAUCUCGGAUUUGUGGUCAUGAAACCACUAUUCCGAUUAGGCCCUAACUCGGGAUAUUACAGGUUAGGUGUCUAUAAAGCAUAUUGGGGCAAACUUCAUGAUUGUGGACCCAUUUACUAAGGGACUACACCCAAGUUUUUAUAAGAGCACACUGUUCAUAUGAGUGUAAUGACAUUCCACGAUAUUCAGUUUUAGUGGGAGUUUGUAAUUCUAAAUGCUUUUAUGUUAUAGACACAUUUUCAGUUAUUUCAGUUUACGAAUAUUAAGUUUAUUUUCUGUAGAAAUAAAGUUUUUUUGGUUUAUUCACACUCUGAUUUUGGAAAAGUUUGAUCUCACUAGGGUUAAGGAGGACCAAUUGGAAAUAGGCAUGUUUGGAUUAUAUUGCAUGUAAUUUUCAUACUACACAUCCAUACUUGAUCUAUGUCAUUUGGUUGUGUUAAUAUACGUGAUUUGGGAUGGAUUUGGUUACAAUACAUGGAACGAAAGUUGUCUUGGUUCUAUGUUAACAUAAUUAAUGGACGAGAUUGUUCGAAAUACCUUUUGGAUAUGAUAAUAAGGUUUUGAGCUCAUAAGGUUAUAUAAUGAUGUGUAAUUAUAAGGUAAUUGGUAUAUAUAUGUGGACCAAGUGGGAGAUUGUUGGAAAAAUAUGGACAUCACACAUAUAAUAAGAGUAAUUAUAUGAUAUUAUUUACUAUAAUCAAAUGUUAUCCCAAAUUAAAAGUAAUCUAAUUUUGUUAAGGUAUAUUGGGCUUUAGUUUUUCAAUAAAGUAUGGGUCAAAUAUGUGUAGAUACUCUAGUAACUAAUUUCUAAUUGAUAAUGGGCUAAUUACGAAAUAAGGUUAAUGUGUAAAAGUUAUAUAUUAGGGUUAUGGUCCCCAAAUUACACAUAACGUAACUUUUCUAAUAUCCCAUCUUUAGAAAAGAGAGAGUCACCUUCUCUACAUCACAUAUGUGCUAAUUUGGAAUAUAAAAGCCAUAAGAUUCAAAGAUUUCAAGAAAUCAAUGAAUUCAGGCAUGCUUCCGCCUCUAGUUUUUGUUUUUGAUUUAUUCUUAAUGAUUUAACAUGGCAGAUCCUAGUUUAUAGUUUUAAGUUUAUAUCAGAUCUUGUUUUUACGGUUCUAACAGGGUAUUCUUUGGUUCAAAAAUGAUAAUUUUUAUUAGGUGUCGGCGCCCAUGUGGUAGGCAUUGCCAAAAAUAAAUUUAAUUUUUUCGGUAUUUUUUAUGCCGACAUUGUGGUGGCCGACACCCAUGUUAGGUAAAUUUUUUUUUUGGUAUCGACCUUCCCCAUGUCAACACUUGAGGAUUUGUCAGAAUUUUUUUUGGUGUCAACAUUUCUAUGCUGGUACUAGUGUUCAAAAAAAAAUUUUGGUCUUGGUUUUUUUUUUCGACACCAAUAGAAUUAUAUAUACCAACCAUGGAUGCAAACUGGUUCUAAUAAAACGAGGAGUGGGAAAAAAUUAUUGAGAUGGUCCCGCUGAAAAGAAAAAAUGAAGAGGAAAAAUGGGGAGAGAGGUUGCAAAAAUGUUCUAUUUGUUUGGGGAGUGUACUAUCAACUAGAGAUUUCUUUUAUGUAUUGGUAGUUAUGCAUUAACGGGCUUGAAUUAUAUAUUGUCACGAGAACUGCAAAUGUUAUGUUGUUAAGGGGUGGAGGUGCCGGUUACGAUUUACACGAGUAGAUGGUAGUCUUUGCAGAUCGAAACUUGUAUCAUGAGAACCCUAUACUUGGGGCAUGGGAUUCCCGAUAGAGCUAUUUGAAGCUCAGGUUAGCGUUUUUGGUCGAAAGCUCGGAUAAGAGAAGUCAUUGCGAUUUGUGCGCUAUAGAUAAUAAAAUUAAGCAACACUGGUGUAUUUGAUUGAGGGCGGCCAAACCUAAUUUUACUAAAUGCAUCGAUAGAACUGAUUCAAGUAGAAGAUGAAUUAGCUGAAGAAAAUACUUUGCAAAAUACAUUAGCAACUGUGUAGUUUGAUUGAUCCAAAUUUAGUUAGUAUUAUUGCACCUGUAGAAUUUUUAUAAAUUAUGAAAUUAGUUAGGUAAAUUUAGUAAAAAAACCAACAAUAUUAGAGGUAAAUAUUUUUUUGAUUAAUUUUUAAUGUAAAUAUUAGUAUGAUAAAAAAGAAAGGAAACUUUUUUAAAUUACAAAAAAAAUAUUAUUGUUCCUGAGUUCGUAAAUUUUUUCCGCAACCGAACCGGUAUAAAAUUGAGAAUAAUAAAAGAAACCGUGAUGCAAUAUUUUAUAAACUAAAAAAAAGGGUAAAAAAAUUAAUGAUCCCCCCAAUUUUUUUAUUCUUUAUAAGUAUGAACUAUAAUAAUAAAUACUGUUGAAAAAUAUGCAUAUCACAUAUAUAAUAAGGGUAAUUACAUGUUAUUAUUUACUAUUAUGAUAGGUUAGUCCAAAUUAAAAGUGAUCUAAUUUGGUUAAAGUUUGAUUGGACUUUAAUUAUUAAAUAAAGUAUGGGUUAAAUAUGUGUAGAUACUCUAAUAAUUGAGUUCUAAUCGAGUUCUAAUCAAAUUCUAAUUAAUGAUGGGCUAAUUAGGAAUUAGAACUAAUAUGCCAAUGUUAUAAAUAUUUGGGUUAUGGUCCACAAAUUAUAUACAAGAUAUCUUUUCUAAUAUCUCAUCAUUAGGAAAGAGAGAGUAGAUAUUCUUUGAAUUUCUUAUGUGCUAAUUUAGAAGAUCAAAUCCCCAAGAUCCGGUAAAACUUUAAGGAAUUCAUGGAUUCAGGUACGCUUCCGCUUCCGCAUCUAGUUUUGUUCUUGAUUUAUUCUUAAUGAUUUGACAUGAUAGAUCCUAGUUUAUUAAGUUUUAUUUCAGAUUUAUUUUAUAAAUCUAACAAGUGGUAUCAGAGCUUUAUUAUGUUGAAUCACUGAGAAUGAAUUGAUUCUUUAUUAUUUUUGGAUUGAUUCGUUUUUCUUUUUUAAUUUUAUGGAUUUGAUAUUUUAAUUAUAUAUUAUGUUGAAUUUUUGAGAUUCUUGAUAAAUUUUUGGGUUUUGAUUUUUUAAAUAAAGUUUUAAGGUUUUAUAAAUAUAAUCUAGUUUAAUAUUUGCAUAUGCUAUUCGAAAGAUGAAGGUUUAUUUGUUUAUAAUCAAUUGAUAAAAAUUGAUUUGUGAGAUUUAUUUCUCUUCUUUUCACACAAUUAUUUUAUAAACUUUGGUUAUUAAAUUAAAGUUAAAGACUUACAAUUUUUUGCAAUUGAAAAAUUCCAAUUGGGUUGUAUAAUUGAUUUUAAAAGUUAAAUCACUUGAUAAUCGAAUAAAUGAAUGUUGGUAAGAUGUUUUUUUUCGCACUAUUUGUUUUAAAUUUUCUGUUUGUGGUUGAAUAUAUAUGGAAUUAUCAUCUUUUAUCUUUAUUCAUGAUGAAUUAUAUUCACCAUUUAAUUCAAUUCAUAUAUACGAAUGAUUACUUUUUGUUUCUGUUAUAAUUAUUUUAUAUAAGUUUUAAUCCUUACGGGGCCUAACUAAAAUUAAAAUAUUGAUAUUUUUUUUAAUAUGGUGACUAUGAAUUUUCAUUAAGUGGUUGUGCAUAUGAAGGCUUUUAUACAAUUUGGGAUUCUUUUUAAUUUGAUAGUUAUAGAUUUUUUUAAAAGUAUUUGUGCGUACAACGAAGUUUUAUGAUAGUGUCUUUAGUCAUGAAUAUAAAUUUGAGUUUACAUGAAAUAUGUAAGGCAAGCCAAUAUUAUUUUUUCUAUUAUUAUAAUUAUGUAUAUAUUGUUUGUGUAUAUAUUACAUGCAUAUAAAUGAUUUUGAGGUUUAAUGCAUAAUUAUAGUUUGUGUGAAUAGGUGUUUAAAACCAUUAUUCAAUAAGAUAUCUUUUAUAGUUUUAUUGGUGAAAUUAAGUUUUGAUGGAUAUCGUUGAAGUUGUUAAAUUUUUUUUUUGUUAUGGUUAUAUAUUCAAUUUAAUGGAUGUUUUGGUGCAAGAUGAAUUAAUCUUUCAUGUUUAAUAUUUUGCAUCAUAGUUGCUAUUGAAUUUUACCAAUUGUGCCACCUAUUUGAAUUCAUUUUCUUAGUGCAUAAUUGCUUAUUUUAAAGUUAUUAAUAUUAGUCGAUGAAUUUCAAUUAUCUAUACUGCCAAGAUACAUAUAUAUUUAAAUAUUUUAGUUUUAAGUUUGGUUCUAUAAUCUUAGGUUUUGGCAUUUUAUGGUUCCAAAUAUUUGGUUAAAUUAUGAUGAUAUGGUUUAUUGUAUGAAUUGUGGGAUAUGCUAACUAUUAUGAUUUUUUUUUUGAGAUUUACUGGCUUGAAAAUAUUUUUCAAGUAUUUAUGUGAAUAUCUGUUUAAUUAUAAAUACAACUUUGGAUUUACAUAGUAAAUUCAGGGUAAGUUUUUCUAUUUGAUUAUGAAUACAUGUAUAUACGUGAAUUACUUUGGUGUUUUUAUCCACGCCAAAAUUAUGAAUACAUGUGCUUGUUAGUUAUUCGGCUUUGAACCACUACAUUAUUUCUGUUUGGUUUUGAUAUAUAUUGUAACGGCCCAAAUUUCAGUGAUAUCGGAACAGUGAUUUGAGAUCACUAAAUCCGACAAGUAUGUUUAAAAAUUUAAUAAAUUAAUAAUUAUGAGUCAAGUGUGAAUUUAGAAGAAUUUUGAAUUAGUGAAUUUUGUGUAAAAAAAAGAGAGAAAAGAAUUUAAUAAGUAAAUUGGGUCUAAAAUGAGGUAUCGAGACCUCGAAUUCAUAAACCGAGCCAUAAAUAUUUUUAGAAAUAUUUAUGGAGUGUAAAUAAGUUAGUAUUAAAGUUUCGUCAAGAAAUUUUAAGAUUUCGGUAGUUAAUUAGGUGAAAAGGACUAAAUUGAACUAAUUGUAAAAUUGUGAGAUGUGAUUAAAUAGCUUAAGUAUUUAAAAAGAUGGAUUUAAAGAGCAAUUAGACCCAAAGGUUAAUGGCUGGACGGUUUGGGUAUGAAAUAAGCAAGAAAACAAUGUGAACAAGGGGCAAAAUUGGAAAUAGCAUAAAAGUUAGUAAUUAAAUAAUGAUGUAAUUGAAAAAUCUAGACAUUUUCUUCAUCUUUCUCAGCCAGAAACGUCGUACCAGGUCUCCUAUGCUGGUUUUUCAUAUUUUUACACCAUGUAAGUUCAAUUUUUACUAUUUCUCAGUAAUUUUUAUGUUUUGGUGACUUUUACAAUUAGGUCCAAUCAUCUAAUUCAUUAGUUUUUGAUUUGGUGGGUGAAAUUGGAAGUUACCCUGGCUGAGUAAGGGUAGUAUAUGAUGAAUUAUUAUGAAAUUGAAGUUCUAAUUUCAUAUUAAGGUUGUUUUAUUAAGUCAUUUUGAUAGAAAAUGGUAUUUAGGACCUAAUUGUGAAAAAGUUGUGAAUUAGAUGUUGGUGUUGAAAUUGAGAAUAUCAAAGGUUGUGAAAUAAUUUAUAAUGAUAAAAUAAAGUGUUAAUUGAGAAAAAAUUAGUUCAAUUGAUGGGUGAAUUGAGUAGGGACUAAAUUGUAAAAACUGUAAAUUUUAGGGUAAAAGUGUAAUUUCGAAAUUUGAACAGCAUAAAUUGUGAAGUGAAGUAGAAAUCAAAUAAAUGCUAAUGAGUAGAAAUAAUUUAUAUUAUAGAUCAAGAGAAACGAGAUUCAAGUCGUGAUCGAGGGAAAAAUAAAGUUUACGAGGAAUAGGCUCGAUUGCUAAUAUUUUAUAUCGAGGUAAGUUCAUAUGAUUUUUAAUAAUGCAAUGUGUAAUUUAAUGUUUUGAAAUGAAAAUUUCAUGAAUGAUAUAGUAUAUUAUUGUAUAUAAAAUGUCAUUAAACUGUGAUAAUUGUAAAAUGAUAUUUGAAUAAAAGUACAAAUUAAAUGGAACAACGGACUUGAGUACUUUCAUUCAGUGGCUAAGACGAAUUGACGGAAAAGACCAUGGUUGGACCAUGGCAGCAUGUGAAAUGUGAUUUCCGUAUAAGACCAUAGCUGGGCUAUGGCUUCGGAGAAAUGUGAUUUGUGCUUCCGUAUAAGACCAUAUCCGGGAUAUGGCAUCGGUGUGAUAUGUGCUACUGUAUAAGACCAUAUCUGGGAUAUGGCAUCAGUGUGAUAUGUGAUUCGUAUAAGACCAUGGCUGGGCUAUGGCCUCGGUAUGUGAUAUGUGACUAUGUGCAAGACCAUAAUUUUACUAUGGCAUUGUGAUAAUGAGGUACUCAAUUCCGUAGUUGUUCCCUAAUUUGAUUAUGAACGAAAAUGUAAAAUGGCCCGAAAAGAUUAAGAAUUGGUGAAUACUAUGAAAAUGACACGAUUUGGAAUAAGUUCUUGAUACUUGAUGACAUUGAGAUUAUGGAUCUAUGCUUAUGAAGCAUAAUUAUGUAUUCUUACCAUGAUGGAUGAAAUCAUAUUGUAUGGAUUUAGUGAAUAAUAGUGGUGAAUGAAUAAAUAUGGCCUUGGCAGUUUUGGAUUACUGCAGUAGUGUAACUUUUGAAAUUCACCAUAAAUUAUGAAAAUUGAGUUAAGGGCUGAAUAAAAUAUGAGAUUAAAGCCUGAUGAGUCUAGUUUCAUAUAGAGGAAACGAUGCAUGCAAUUGGAUUUUAUGUUAUAAGAUAUUUAAAUUGUUGUGAGACAGAGUUUGAAUGACUUCGAGAUCCCCUGUUCUGAUUUUAAAAAAUCAUUAGAAAUUGUACAAUUGUGGUGUUUUAUCUUAAAAGCAUGUUGGUAAUUGCUUAUUAAUUUCAUAUGGACUUACUAAGCAUUUAUGCUUACUCCCUCCUUUUCAUUCCUUAUAGUUUUGACAAGCUAGCUCGGAAAUCGGGAACGGUCGGAGGCCCACUCACACUAUCCGUAUACCAUCUUGGCAUAAUGGCUUGUAUAUUUUGAGUACGGCAUGUAUAGCAUUAUAAUCAUUUUGUAUAUAUGGUCUUAUGAUAUGGUUAUUGAGUGGUAUGGAAAUGCUUGGUAAUGAUUAGCCAUUGGAAUGGCUAAUCAUGUUCAUAUUUGGUGUUAUGUAUGUCAAAUUGCUAGCUAAUCCAUGGAAACCAUGAAAUAGGUAAAAUUUACCAUAAAAUAGAUUCAGACAGCAGUAGAGAUGAGAAUUUGAAAAAUCACUAAAAAUAGUAGAAAUGGAAUUAAAUAAUGAAUAAGUUAUGGAAUCGAAGCUUGAUGAGUCUAUUUUCAUAUGGAAGAAGCGAAACAGGUAUAUGAUCUAUAUUUUAUGAGAUGUUUAAAUUUUUGUGAAACAGGGCCAGAGCGAUUUCUGGAUCCCCUGUUCUGAAUUUGGAAAUUCACCAUAAAUUUUAAAAAGAUAAUUAGAAGUCAUGCCUUAUAUUUACAGAUUCCUUAUUGAGUCUAGUUUUAUUAGAAACAAACGGCAUAGUCAUUUAAGCUCUGUACAGGGAGAUAUCUGAUUCGUAAUACACAGAGGUCAGAGUAGUCGAACCCUGAAACAGGGGAGACUUUAACUAAUAAACUGUACUAAUUGGCCCAACCAAAAAUUCUAGAAAAAAAAUUAGUAGAUAGAUAUAUGAGUCUAGUUUCAGGAAAAAUUUACGGAAUUGGAUUUCGAGUUUCGGAACUCGAGAUAUGAAUUUUUAAGCAACUAUGACGCAGUUGGACAGCUUGUCCGAAUUUGUUUAAGUGCUCAAAUAAGUUUAGUAAUGCCUCGUGCUCGACUCCGGCGACGGUCUCGGGUAAGGGGGCGUUACAUAUAUGGUUUUGGAACAAAAAAAAAAGAAAACAAAACAAAGAAGAAAUAGUCAAAAAUUAAGGUUUUCUGUUUUUUAUUGCAUUAUUAAGACAACAUUAUUUUGAGUUAUUUUGGAGUCUAUAAAGUAAUAAAAAAAUAGUUUUGACAUUUGACUAUUAGGUAAAUUUUAAAUUUGAAUAUUGAUAUGUUUAUAUAUAUUUUAAAACAACUUAAUUGAAGCAAUAAGUCACCAAAGUGAUUUUUUUUUGUAUAAAUUAUUUUUUUUAAAAUAUAAAAGGUUGUGUGCAUGUAACUUAAGUUAUGUUAAUAUUGAUCGACCCAAAUAAAGGUUAAUAAUGUAACAUGUGCAACUAUGGUAAUAAACAUGUGACAAUUAUUCGGUUUUACAUGUAAGCAAUAAAUUGGUUCAAAGGAAAAUUUAUGGUUUGACAUGUUCUUAUUGUCAAUAUUUGAUUAUUACACCAAUAUAUCACUUAUAAGUUAAUAUUUUGUCUAAAGAUAAAAUAUUAAUAGAGUGUCCGAUAUCUUGAGAUGAGGUUUACCUUAAUUCAAAUUAUUUUGGUUUAAAUUUGAAGUCUUAUAUGAAGUUGUUUAUGGUUUAUGAUUUAUUCAACUAUUGUUGUAUUUGCCAACAUCAUUUUAUGUUGUUUUGGGAUAAAUAUAUACAUAUAUAUAUAUACUAUUAUCUUUAAAUUUGAUUAAAAGAUGAAAUUAAGAGAAAUAUUUUGAAGCAAAUAAAUUUAGAUUCUGGCUUUAGGUUUUAAUUAAGGAUGUUUAAUAUUUUAAAUAGAUUAGUUGAAACAAAAUGCCGCCAAAGUGACCUUUUUUUUGUUGAUUAGUUUAUUUGAAAUAUCAAGAUGAUUAUAUGUUUUUGUGAUUCAUGUGUUUAUUAGUUGACCCAAAUAUAAGUUAAUAUUUGGCAGAAUUUCAACGACAUCUGUGGUGAUAAAUGUGUGACAAUUAUAAGGUAUUUUAUGUGAGCAAUAAGUUAAUCUAAAGAUUAAUUAAUUGUUUAACACAAUUUAUUGUCAAUGUUUGAUUGCUACAACAAGAGUAUUAAUUACUGUUAAUAUUACUAUCCAAAGACUUGAUAUAAAUUUUGUGUUUGGUAUCUUGAGAUGGGAUUAGCCAUUAACCUGAAUUUAUUGUUUACUUAUGAAUAUUGAUGUGAACUUAUUUUUAUUUAUUUUUUGUUCUAUAUUCAGCUAAUUCAUCUUCUACUGCCAUAAUAUCUGCUAAUAUAAAUUCUAUACCCAUGCUUAAUGGGACUAAUUCUAAUGAAUGGAAAAGGCACUUACUUAUAGUCUUGGCUAUAUAAACAUAGACCUUGCACUAAGGGAAGAACUACUCGCACCUCUCACUACGGAAAGCACCCCCUAUGCAAAUUGCAAGAGUCUAAUGAUCAUGAAGCACAUCAUUUCAGAAGCCUUUAGAGGCAUAGAAUUUGAAAAGAUUACUUAGGCCAAGGUUUCCUUUACAAAAUUGAGAAACGUUUUGCUAAAAACGAUAAGGUUGAAAUGAUAUCACUUUUGACUUCUUUGAUGUCUAUAAAGUUAAGGGUUAAGGAAAUUCUGAACGAUCUAAGGGCUAUGAGUUUUAUGAUCCCACAAUUAGGAAUAAUUUUUAGACGAGAAUUGUAACGUUCUUUUAGGAUGUUGAGUUUGGAGGGAGAAAUAAGGUUAGAAAUAUUUCUUUUAAUGAGGAAUUGAAUUCUAACUCAUUUCCUACUAUCACUUUUGAUGAUGUUUAGGUUCUCAUACCUAUUAUUGAUUAAGAAGUGAAUCUAGAACAUCAAUAAGACAAUGUCGAACAACUCCUUAUUCAAGAUGAGGUAAUUGUUCCAGAAGAACAAACUCAACAACCUUAAGAAUGAAUGUCAUUAAAAAGGUCCAUUAGAGAAAUGGUUAUAAUGAUUUUAGUGGAAUAUUUUGACAUUAAGCUACAUCAAAUAAAUAUUAAGUUAAUGGUUUCUCAAUGGUAACAUUGAUCAUACAUUUAUAUGGUGCAAUUAGAAAGCUUUGUGUCUAAUGAUGCAAAGUUAAUGAUUUGCAAAGAAUUUCAUCUAUGGGCUUAAGCAAACUUCUCAUCAAUAAUAUUACAAAUUUUACCAAAUGAUUAUCUCAUUUGGUUUAGAGAUGAAUUUUAUUGAUAAUUGUAUAUACCAUAAGUUUAGUGGGAGUAAGGUUCUAUAUUUGGUUUUAUAUGUUAAUGACAUACUGCUUGUCAAUAAUAAGUAUAGCCUCAAUCAAUGCCCUAAGAAUGAUUUUGAGAUUACAAAAAUGCAUUAGAUUUUUUUACAUUUUAGCAGUGGAAAGUCUAAUGUACGUUCAAGUUUGUAUACAUUGGAAUAUUGUGUACACUAUUGGGAUGUCAGACAGACAUUUUAAGCAACCCUGGUUUUGACUAUUGGAUAGCAUCCAAAAGGGUUAUAAGGUAUUUUCAGAAAACAAAAGAUUACAUGCUCACAUAUCGGAGGUCUAAUUAGUUAGAGAUCAUCAGGUAUAUAGACUCCGAUUUUGAUGGAAUAUGGAUACAAGAUUUGUUACUAAGGUGCAAAUUGUGAAAACAAAUUGUAGCCUUUUAUUCCAAUAGCAACAUGAGCACAUCAAAGUAAAAACACAUAGACUUUAAGUUCUUGGUUGUUAAAGUAAAAGUUCAGAGUGGUUAGGUGGUUAUAAAGCAUAUUACGAAAAACUCCAUGAUUGCAGAUCUGCUUACUAAGGAACUACACCUAAGGUUUUAUAAGAGCACACUGCUCAUAUGGGUGUAAUGUCAUUUAAAGGAUAUUUGGUUUUAGUGGGAAUAUGUAUUUUUAAAUACUUUUAUUUUAUAGACACAUUUUCAAUUAUUUCAGUUUAAAGAUAUUAAGUUUAUUUUUUGCAGAAAUAAAGUUUAUUUGGUUUAUUCACACUCUGAUUUUGGUAAGGUUUGAUCUUACUAAGGAGGACCAGUUGGAAAUAGACAUGUUUAGAUCAUAUUGCAUGUAAUUUCAAUGCUACAAAUCCAUCCUUGAUCUAUGUCAUUUGGUUGUGUUAAUAUGCGUAAUCAUGGAUGGAUUUAUUUACGAUAUAUGUAACGAAAGUCGCCUUGGUUCUAUGUUAACAUAAUUAAUGGACGAGAUUCUUCGGAAUACCUUUUGGAUAUGAUAGUAAAAUUUUGAGCUCAUAAGGUUAUAUAAUGACAUGUAAUUAUAGAGUAAUUAGUAUAUAUAUGUGGUCCAAGUUGGAGAUUGUUGGAAAAUAUGGACAUCACAUACAUAAUAAGGGUAAUUACAUGUUAUUAUUUGCUAUCAUAAUAGUUAGUCCAAAUUAAAAGUGAUCUAAUUUGGUUAAAGUUUUAUUGGGCUUUAAUUAUUAAAUAAAGUAUGGGUUAAGUAUGUGUAGAUACUUAGUAAUUGAGUUGUAAUAAAAUUCUAAUUAAUGAUGGGCUAAUUAAGAAUUAGAACUAAUAUGUCAAUGUUAUAAAUAUUAGGGUUAUGGUCCUUAAAUUAUACACAAGAUAUCUUUUCUAAUAUCCCAUCAUUAGGAAAAAAAGAGCAGAUAUUCUUUGAAUUUCUUGUGUGGUAAUUUGGAAGAUCAAGUCCCCAAGAUUCGGUAAAACUUUAAGGAAUUCAUGGAUUCAAGUACGCCUCUGCAUCUAGUUUUUUUCUUGAUAGAUUCUUGAUGAUUUGACAUGAUAGAUUCUGGUUUAUUAAGUUUUAUUUCAGAUUUAUUUUACAAAUCUAACAAACACAUAUUCAAGUAAUGAUAUUAAAUAAUGCUAAAUUAGUCCAUUAUGUGAAGAAAGUUUUUUUAGUGUUAUGAAAAAAAUUAAAUCAAAUAAAGAAAAAAAAGGGUGGGAUGAAUAGUUGCCGCGUCAUCAUCUUUUUUUUUCUUUCUUCUCCUAUUCUUCUUCUUUUCAAAAUUUUUUUUAUUAAGUUUGAAGUUUUAAGGUAAUUUAGUAUGUUCUUAAUUUGAAUGAUUUGUUCAAUUAUUUGUUGUUAUUUUGAAUGGUGAUUGAUAAUUUAAUUGAUAAUUACACAAAAUAACAAUAUAUUCUCUUAUCCGAGCUUCCAACCACACAACGCUUAUGAUUAACAAGCCGGUAAAUGUUGUUCUAGUCGAUUUUAAAUAAAACCAUAUAAUUUAUUUUUUUAAAAGUGUUUUUGUAGUUAAUUUCUAAAAGUAAUAAUUAUUCAUUAGUUGUGAAAAUUAAAGUUGUAAAAAUUAACAAAUAUCAGUUUUAUUAUGUGUACAGGAUGAGUACCGGGUCUUGAGGCCUCGACUCCAUGGUCUGAGAUAUAUUCCCGACCAUUGGUGUAACGCCCCAAUUUUCGCGAAUUCUGUGAAUGUUGGCAUAGGUUUAAUUAAGUUAGUGGGCCUCUAGAAGGCCUAAGCUUAAGAUAGAACCCGGUAAUUUUAGUUAAUUUUUGUUCCAUAAGAAAAAGAGAGUGAAAUUAUGAAAUAGGACCUAUGUGAAAAUGUUUGAAAAUGCUAUAGGCUAAUUUGUAGUGGCCAAAUAAAUAGUAGUGCAAAAUAGGAGGAUUUGCAUGUCAAAUUCCCCACUUUUAAUGUAGUGGCCGGCCAAGGUGAUGGAUAGUUGAUAAUGUAUGCAUUUUAGCAUUUUAAUAGUUAAUGGAUGACGGGCAUUAGCAUUUUAAUAGUUAAUGGAUGAUGGGCAUGGUAAGCAUUAUGGGCAUAUUUUUAUUGGAAUUAUAGCAUGAGUAUGGCAUAAAUAUUAGUAUAUCAUUUAUGUGUCAUAAAAUGUUGAGUGAUAAGAAUAACAAAAAGAAGUAAAGGAAGGUUUUUGUUCAUUCUUUGUUCUUCAUAGCCGAAUUUGAGAGAGAGCAAAUAGGGGAGGAAACCCUUGAAUAUUCGGUCACUAGGAGGGGGAAAAAUUGAAGGUAAGUUCUUGGUACUUUGCUUCUAUCUUGAUGUUCAUGAGUUCUUCUUGAUUCUACCCUAACUCAUGAAGCAUAUUUUGGUUUUUGGUUGUUGUUUCAUGUUCUUUUGAUGAAAAAUGGAAGAUAGGUGAAGUUGAGCCAAACAAAUGAGCAUGCAUGUGCCUUAGAUGCUAAGGGGAAAAUCGGCUAACAUGUUGUGCUUUAAAAUGAUGAAAUGGAGAUUAUACUUAAGUAAAAUCAUAGAUAUGUGAUGAUUGAUUGGUGAUAUACAUGUUUAAAUAACAAGCAUGCAAGUUAGGUGUGAAAGAGUAAUUUGGUAAUAAAUCUGCUUGGGACAGCAGCAGUAACGUGACUUUGGAAAAUCACCAUAAAUUGUGGGAGAUGAGUUAGAAGCUGCAUAAAUUAUGUAAUUAAAGCUUAAUGAGUCUAUUUUCAAAUGGAAUAAACGAGAACAUAUUUUUAAUUCUGUACAAUGAGAAAUUUGAUUCGUAAUGAAGAGUGGUCAGAUUAGUCAAACAGUGAAACAUUGGAAACUUUAAGAAAAAUCUGGUAUUGAUUGGACAUACCAAAAAUUCUGAAAAUUUUAUGGAUAGAAGAUAUAUGAGUCUAUUUUCAGAGAAAAUUAACGGUACUUGAUUUGGAGUUUCGUAGCUCCAGUUAUAAAUGAUUUAGUGACUAUUGCUCAGGAAGACAGCUUGCAGUGAAAUUAUGAUUAUGUGGUAAACAUUGACAAAAAUUUGUUAAUGAGUUGCUUAUUGAUUUCUUAUAAGCUUACUAUGAUCUGUAGGUGUGGUUGGCCGAAUAUUGUAAGGGGUUAAUACGUAGUUUGUAUUUGAAUAGUUAGAUUAACGUGUUAGUAAUCCAAUUGUAGGCGGUUCGUGUGUGGAUCUCGUCAGCAUAUCGUCGCAAACAGGUGUGUAACUAACACCCUCUUUCUUAGUCUAGAUCGGCAAAAGUCAAAAAGCCGAAAUGCCGAAAACUGGUAUUUUGUAGAUUUGCGAGUGUGCGAAUGCUCGUGAGGUAAAUCGAUUAAUGUUUUUGGUAAGCUGCAAUGUUUGGACUGCAAAGUGCAUGAUUUCUGUGCCCUCGAUAUUUUUGGGCUUAAUGGGCCAAAAUUGGAAUGAUGGGUCAACGGGCUCAAUUCGGUAAGAACCUUCGGUAGUGAUUCUGUUAGUACGUGAAAGGUAGGAAUAUGCAUGAAAAACCCUAAAAUAGAUAAAUUACUGAAAUACCUUUAAAAGUGGAAAAUUUACAGUUUUACCCCUAGGAGAUAAAUUACCGAAAUACCCCUAGGGUUAAAUUGACCUAAAUGCAUGUUUGACUGUUGUUAUUUACUGCAUGCCAUGUUGUUAUUAUCUGAUGCAUGGGACUGGGAUAUUAACGGAGGAAGUACUGAAAGUGGCUUGUCCACGUACUAGAGGCUUUGCUUCAAUUUACUGUUAACUGAGCAGCAAGGCUGCAACUGUGGAGUGUUGGGCCGGGUGGGUUGAGCUAUUCCCCACAUGGAGUGUAUGGCUGGUACGGGUGGAGUGUAGUGGUUGGUGGGUUGAGUAGUCUCCCCAAAUGGGCUUGCAUAUGUUUACUAAUGUUGCAUGUAUUUUGAAAUGGGCCUAUGGGCCAUACUGUUAUUUGAAUAAGGGGCUAAUGCCCAGUUUAUUGUAAUCUGAAAAGGGCUCUGGCCCAGUACCACUGUUACCUGAAUGGGCUUAGGCCCAAUGGGCUUGAGCUGACUUGGGCUUUGAAUGGGUUUUCCUUACACACAGAGUUUCCCCAAACUCAUCCCUUCUUUGACCUUGCAGGUGAGCCUUGGUGUGGGUGACUUGGAGCCGGAAGGGAUUCAGAGUGGCCAUGGUGAAUACUUUUGGGUUUGAAAAAGAGGCUGGUUUUCUUAAGUUAUUUUUAAUUACUAUUUAAUUUUUGGGUUAUAAUAAGGCUAUUUUAACUUUAUUUUCUUCUUUGAUUUUUCUGGGAUUAUAUUAUUAAAAACAACUUUAAAUUGAUGGAUACUAAUUCAAAUGGGCUAGACUUAGGGCGUGAUUUCAAAACGAUACUUGUUUUUUUAAAAAUAACACGACGUCACGAAUAUUCGAUUUACCAAAGAUAAUCACUCAAAGAAAUUUCAACUUGUUAUAACCAAGUGUGACAAUGGAUGUGGGCAUGUCUAGGAUUGGAUCCAAUCGGAGAGCUUGGUACUUAAGCAGCCUUCAUGGCUCACCUCCUCUGUUAUGGAUACCUACCUGGUGCCCAGCUUCCGUUCACUUGGUUAGUUUGACAAAAGUCAGCUUUUUAAAACACUAAAAAGGGAACACGAGUUUUUGACUUCAAAGUGGCACGUCGGAUUCAGCCUUAACGUCUGGGCCGGGUUUGGGGUGCUACAAUUGGACUAUACCAUAAUUGGAUGCCGCCAGGUUUGGUAUAGUGGCAUUUGUUUAGAUGUUCAACUUAAGGUUGGACUUAAUAUCUGCCCUGGCUGAGCGAUGGCACCUAAGACCGACACUUUCCAUCUUCCGUGUGGGGAGUGCACGAUAAUGUUGGAGGAAUUUCGAUUCAACUGAGGUUUUCGGUUGAUGGAAUUGCGAUCAUGGGGCCAAAUAAAAUGGCUGAACCUUGGGGCCUUUACUACCGACUACUUGGACGCGUCCCCGACGAUGGGGAAGCAAAAUUAACCAGUUUGAAAUUUUCUUGGUUAAGAGAAAAUUUCAAAACACUAUUGAGUGGUCUAUUGAGUCUAAGGUCAAUUGCUCUACUCAAGCGUAUAUUCCACUGUUGAUAGGUGGGGUACUAAUGCCAGACUCAAAAUCAAAAUAAAAUCCACAUUAUGUACUUGCCAUUACUGGAAGAUCUUAACAAUGCCCGAUUCUACAGUGGGCCUCAGCAGUUUUGUCUUGUGUCAUAAACGGUUUCCUUCUUUUGCUGUAGUCUUGGGCUUUACACAAGAUGCCAUUUCUGGUAUUAGUGGGUCACCAAUCACCCCUUGUUAAUAGGAAAAAAAUUUUUUGAAAAGUUUUUUGCAUACUAAUUUUAUUUUAUGUGUGCGAACUUGCUAAAAAAUUGUGAUUUAUUUCUAGAUGGGCAAUGACUUUGGGAAUCGAGAGGUCAGAGACAAUAGUUGUAUACCGCCAAAUGAUUAAGGUGCACUCUAGGGACAACUUAAAAUACUAUUUUGAAUUUUACAUUUUUAAAUUACAAUAUUUAAGUAUUAUGAAUUUUUUUAAUUACAACAUUUCAAAUAGAUUUAUUUGUAACACCCUAAACCCGGCCGAGUAAGUUCGACCUGAAUUUUGGCGAGCUAUAUUAGCCAUCGAAAUGACUCUCUAUUAACUCCCAACCUAACCUCCAACACACCACUUACUUUCAAAAAAUAAUGUGUUAAGUUAUAACGCAUAGCGUAAGAAGCAUGUGAGCUUAUAAAUUAAAAAGUAAAGGUUUGCAUGUCAAACAAUAGAAAGACUUAAGGGUUCGCAUGAAAGGUACAAACAGAACAGUUUAAGGUACACAAAUUCAUACAUAAAUUCAAGUUCAUAGAAAUUAUUAUUAAGGUUCGUACCACAACUUAGGCUUGCAUACACUAUACAACAUAUGUUCGCCUAAUUGAAUAACAUAUGAGUUUGCACUACAACAUAAUGAAUGAGUUUGCACAAAAGCACAGGUUUGCAAAGUAACAACAGUUAACAUAUUUCCUAAGUUCACACUUUAAACAUACAAGACUAAGUUCACAUGCAAUAUAGGCUUUGCAAAUAAAGAAGUCAUUCACACAAGGGUUCACAUACUUUAUAGAGUUCUCAAUAUUGUAAUAUAUUCCUACAGAGGGUUUUGCAUGCAUAUUGGGGUCCUAACAUGCAAGAGACGCAGAAAAUAGUACUUCGCAAUAAAAUUGGUUCGCAUAUGAUAUUAAAACAUACUUUGGAAAAGUUAAAAGAAAACAACAUGGUAAACAUGCAUGGAGAAACAAAGAAACAUCAACUUUAUUCUUGUUGAGACAGAAUUAAUAACAAAGGUUUAACUUAACGGUUCGUAGAACAAAAACAAAAUUAAACUUUAAAUAAAUUAUUUCAAUAACAAAGUCAAAUUAUGAUAAAUUUAAACCCCCAUUGCCUACUUUCCAAGUUCACCAAUAUCUAUUCAGGGAUGAGCCUCGCCAAGUCAUCUACCUCACCACUGCUAUUUGCGACCUAUUUACUUGCGAAGUAAGGGAUUAGUGGGCGAGUUCAUUGUGAACUCAAUGAGCAAUCAGGAACUAUUAGCGUAUGCUUAAAAUACAGAGUUUAAAAUAGAAAGAAGACUUAGUCUGAAAAUAGUUUCGCGUGCUGGGUCACGAAGAAGGUGUAGAUACUACAUGUCAGAAAACACAAGUUUGUAAAAAUAGUUUUAGUUGUGCUUGUUGAAAACCAUACUUGAAAACUUAGCUUGCAAAUAGAACUUGUAUGACAUAAAACAUGCUCACAUACUUGUCUUAUUAGAAUGGUUGAGAAACAUAAGAUAUGUUCUUGCACUUGUCUUAACUUGCGUAUCUUAUUUGUUAGAUAUGCAGAUCUCCUUAUAACGCCUCAGAAUGACUUAUAGAGUCCUUACAACAUGUCCCUUAAGUGUAGUGCGAAGCCAUGCACUCUCUUAUACACCAACAUGUUCCAGUGAAUGGAGCUCAGCUCGACAUUCCCUUAUUUUUCCACAUGUCUAAGGGCCUCAAUGCCCAAAUCCCAGAACUUAUGGAUGAGUACUCAUAAUCUUUUGGUAUAUCAAUAUAUCCAACAUAAGGGCUCGCAAAGGACCUCGCAUAGAAACUUAUCAUAUAGAGCUUGCAUAGGAAGCUUGCUUUAAAACACUUGUUUAUAUAGAGCUCGCACAGAAGCUCACAAAAAAGGUUUAAAAAUCGUACUUUAAAAACAUAUUUUAAAACAUAGGCUCACUUAGGAGCAUAUAUAAAACAUAUAUUUAAAUCAUAGCUUAAAAACAUAACUUGAGAAUAGAGUAUUAGAACUUAAGAACAGAGUUUUAUCGGAAGAAACUUACUCGUGGAACUUAGUUUUUAAAAACAAAGUUCUUUGGAAAACAUAACAGUUCACAUACAAGUUACAAACCUUGAACAUUGAUACUAAAAAACAUAAUAGUUAGCACACUUAUGGCAAAUCUUAACCACUUAUUGAAAAACUAAGAAUUAAACAAGCUUGGCUUUGCCAUUAGCCUUGCUAGUAGAUGGUCCAAAUGGUUCGCAACAUAUAUAAACACAUUGGCACAACGGGACAUCACAUGUCGCAUCGUUAGGAUGUCAUGUGUCUGUCAUUGUAACGUCAGCUUUUCCUCAUCCAAAAUGUAAGACACACUCUACAAAUCUUCACAUUGACUCGUAUUUUUGUAAUGCCUUCUUUAUCGAGCCCUAUUUGGGGCCCAACCCAAUCCUUGCAGGAUGCUGACCAAAUCCAAACAAUGUUUGAACUUGGAAAUUGGAAGGCUUUUGGUCAUCAUAUCAACUAGUUUUGAGAAUCUAAACAUCUCUUUGAGCAACCACCUCUCAAACAAAGUGAUAUUAAAUGUCUAUGUGCUUUGUUCUUUUGUGAUGCAUUUGAUCUUUAGUGAGAUGUAUGGAACUUUAACUAUCACAAUAUCCAAUAGUCACGUUGUGUUUAUUAACCGCCUCAUCGGAUAGACCUCUCAACCAAAUGACUUCUUUUACUGUAACGCCCUGAUAUAUAUGUCCUUGUUUCUGUAAACAUCUGACACAAUUGUGUAUCUGCUUCAAUGGUUAAGUGUUCUGGGUGUGUCUGAGAGGUCUUGAGUUCAAACCUUACCUUUAGCAAUUUUUUUAUUUUUGGAAUUAAGCCCUAUCUCUGUUGUAACACCUCUAACCCUUAUCCGUCGCCGGAAUAGGGUUACAAGGCAUUACCGAUCAAAACAAAACAUAUAAUCUACAUUUUUAUAUACAUGAUUCAGUCACAUAAAUAUCAAUCUAACAUAAUCAUAAUGUUCCUUAUAAGGUUCCACGAGACCUUAAAACAUGCUUAAACGAGGUUUGGGACUAAACCGAUAAAAUUUGCAAACUUUGAAAAAAACUUAUAAAAUUUUCAAGCAUUCAAGGACACGCUCGUGUCACAGACCGUAUGAAAACAGGGCAUACAUACUAACUUGCACUACACAACUGGAGACACGCCCAUGUGCCAUGGUCGUGAGAAAUCUGGAGGGAUUACUGACUUGGGUCACACGGCUGACCACACGCCCAUGUGCUAGCCUGUGUUUCACACACGACCAAUAGUCACACCCGUGUGUCUAGACCGUGUCAAACCGGAAGGGUAUGCUGACUUAAAUUCGAAAGGUACCCUAGGGAACACACGGCCGUGCAGCAUGAUCGUGUGUCGCACACGGCUGAGACACAUGCUCGUGUCUCUGCCCGUGUGGACAAAAAUAGACUAUUUGCAAAGUCGAUUUGCCACCCUUUUCUCAUGCACACCUAGCAAUCAAAAUGGUACCAUUUUAAUACAUUAAUAGGCAACCAAAACAUGCUAUUUCAUACACAUUUCAUGCCAUUUAUACAUCAUCCUUUUCACUACUCAAUUUCACAACCAAAAACAUGCCAAAUCAAAUUGAUACUUUAACUAGUAUUCACAUUUAGACAUAACCCAAAUCAUCAAGCAUUUACUAAACCAAAAUGGCAUCCAAACAUCAUUUUAAAUUAUACCAAAGCUUACCAUUUCUCAAACCAUAACACAUCAUUAACAAUUUACUAAAUACUUAUUCAUUAACCCAUCAAAAUAACCAUAUCAUGUCUACCAAAACAUAAGGCAUCAUAAAUACACCACAUAUCACAUAUUAACUCAUAACAUAAGUCAAAUUCAACUUCAUCAAAGCCAAAUCACAUGGCUAAAUUCAAAGUUCAAAACAUACCAAAAUGACACUAGCCUAUACAUGCCAUAUACCAUAUAUACAAAGCUUCAAAAGUACCAACAAGUUGAUCGACAGUGUGACGAUGUUCCUGAUGAUCCCCGAGUCUGAGCUAGCUUCGAUUUAUGUAUAAAACAAGGAAAGAACACACAAAGUAAGUUUUAAAUCUUAGUAAGCCAUACACAAAUAAAUUACCAUAUGAAUCAACAUCAUUUCCAUCAAUAGGAAAAGUAUGAGUAAAUAUAUAUAAACACACACACUUUUCUCUUUGUACACAUGUUCAUUAUCAUAAUUGAAUUCAUCAAAUACUUUCCUUUUUAAUACUCGUAUGAAUCUCGUACGUACCUAAGUCAGUUAACUCAUUCACACAUUCUUUCUUGACUUGAAUUUUCCCAUUGAACCAUUCAGAAUCGUUAAGGAUACUCGGAAAUCACAUAAAGCUCGUACAAUGCCAUAUCUCAAAUAUGGUCUUACAUGUUAUCACAUAUCGAUGCCAUUGUCCCAGACAGGGUCUUACACGAAAUCAACGAUGCUAAUGUCCCAGAGAUGGUCUUGCACGUAAUCACAAUACAAUGCCAAUGUCCCAGACAUGGUCUUACACGUAAUCACAAAACAAUGCCAAUGUCCCAGACAUGGUCUUACAUGUAACCACAUCUCUGUAACCUAAUGUCAUGACAUUUGUAUCCUAUACUAUUCCUAAGGUUCGUACGAGACUUUCAGAUAUCAUAACUCUGUCGAUUCUUGCUCGUUCAACAUUCAUAAUAAUUCAAUGACAAUUAAACAUGUAUAAUCCAAUUUAAAGACAUUUAUUUGCAUGUGAACUUACCUUGUAUUCAGGAUAAACGAAUGGGGUCGACUAUUCGAUAACCUUCGAUUCCCCCGAUCUAAAUUUGAUUUCUUUCUUUCAGGAUCUAUAUGAAUUCAAAAUUAACUUAUUUAUUCAUUGAUUCAAUCAAUUCAGUCCAAAAACACAUAUUUAAGCCAAUUUGCACUUUGGCCCUAAACUUUCACAUUUCUUACAAUUUAGUCCUUAUUUCAAUAAACACAAAAUUACACCAAUUCAAUUCAAACCCAUGUGUGCCAAAUUACUAUAGCAACCCCAGCAGCCUAUAUUUCACAUUUAUUCAUAUUUUUACCCCACAUUUUCAUCUUUUCACAACUUAAUCCCUAAUAUGCAUUUUUACUCAAAAUCACUUUACAAAACAUAGAUAUCUAUCACUAAGCUUUCAUAAUUCACAAUCAAUCAUUCAAAAACACAUGAAUUCAUCAAUGAAAACUUUUAAAACAUUAAGCAGUUUUGCAAAUUAGUCCCUGGGCUAGCUAGUUCUCAAAGCAACUAUCACAAAAACGUAAAGAUCAUCAAAAAUAGAUCAAAACCGUACCUUAAUUGCUUGAAUAUACUAGGCCGAAUGAAGAACCCUAGUUUUUGUUAUUAUCCCUUCAAAAUUCGACUAUAAAGAUGAUAAUGAAACCAUAUUUUGAUUUUGUUUUACUUAAUAAUUCAUUAUUAACUAAUUUACAAAUUUAACCUUACUUAAAACAUUAUUAUUUCACAUAAACCAUGCCCAUUAAUGUCCACUCAUACUAUCAAUGGUAUAAUAUCAACUGAAGGACCUUUCAUUUAAUAAAACAUGGCAUUUAAGCGCUUUAAACAAGUAGAAUGCAACUUUUGCAUUUUACGCGAUUCAAUCCUUUUUCUCAAAUUGAGCUAUUAAACGAUAAAAUUAGCUCACGAAUUUUUACACAUAUAUAAUCACAUGCUGUAAACACAUAAAAUAAUAUUAAAAUAAUUUUACAACCUCAGAUUUGUGGUUCCAAAACCACUAUUCUGAUUUAGCUAAAACUGGGCUGUUACAACUCUCCCUACUUAGGGAUUUUCAUCCCCAAAAAUCUUACCAGUAAAUAGGUUUGGAUAUUGCUUUCUCAUAGCAUCAUUAGGUUCCCACGUAGCUUCUUGAACCCCAUGUUGAUGCCACCAGACUUUCACUAAUGCUAGUAUUUUAUUUCUCAGCUCUUUGAUCUCACGAGCCAAAAUUCAAAUUGGUUCUUCACUGUAUGACAAAGCUGACUGAAUUUCAACUUUAGAAGGAGAAAUAGCAUGUGAAGGGUCGGAUCGGUAUUGUUGAAGCAUCGAUACAUGAAAAACAUUGUGAAUCUUCUCUAACUCGCUCGGUAAAGCUAAUCGGUAUGCCACUGGACCUAUUCUUUCAAUGAUCUUAUACAGCCUGAUAAAUCUCGAAGUCAAUUUGCCUUUACGACCGAGUCAAAGUAUUUUCUUCCACGGAGAUACUUUCCAAAAAAAUUAUCCCCAAUCUGAAACUCAAUAUCUUUCCGUUUCAAGUCUGCUAUGAUUUCUUGCGAUUUGACGCUGCUUUUAGACUAUCAUGAAUUACUUUCACUUUUUGUUCGUUCUCUUUAAUCAAAUCGACCCUAAAAAUCUUAUUCUCACUUAGCUCAGUCCAGUACAAUGGUGUUCUACAUUUACAAUCGUAUAAAGCUUCGUACGGUUCCAUUUUAAUACUCGAUUGAAAAAUGUUGUUAUAUGCAAAUUCAAUCAACGAGAAAUACUUUUCCCAUGUACUUUCAAACUUAAGAAUGCAACAUCUCAACAUAUCUUCGAGUAUUUGUAUAACUCGCUCAGAUUUACCAUCCGUCUGUAGGUGAAAUACGGUACGAAAAUAUAGUUUUGAACCCAGUGCAUCUUGCAGUUUCUUCCAAAACCUCGAUGUGAACCUCGUAUCUCUAUUCAAAACAAUAGAAACAGGUACUCCAUGUAAUCUCACAACCUCAGAGAUAUACAACUCAGCUAACUUUUAAAGCGGAUAUUCUGUUCGUACCAGAAUAAAAUGAGCCGAUUUUGUCAAUCUGGCAACUGUAACCCAAAUCACAUCUUUCUUUCUUUCUCGGAGAUGAGGUCAAUCCUGACACAAAAUCCAUAGUUACUCUAUCCCAUUUCCACUCACGAAUCAUAAUCGGCUGCAAUAAACCAGACGGUACUUGAUGCUCAGCUUUAACUUGUUGACAAAUCAAACAUUUAUAAACGAACUCUGAGAUAUCACAUUUUAUACCAGGCCACCAAUAGAACUAUUUUAAAUCGUUAUACAUUUUUGUGCUUCUAGGAUGAACUGAUAAACGACUACUAUAUGCUUCGUUCAAAAUCAUCCGGAUCAACUCUGAAUUUCUCGGAACACAUAUUCGGCCUCUGAAUCUUAAACAAUCAUCAGCGUCAACUUGAAAUUCUGAAUCAAGGUUUGAAUCACAUUGAGCUCAUUUUGCUAACAUUUCAUUAUCAACUUUCUGAGCUUUGCAAAUCUGCGGUAAAAAUAAUGGUCUCGCUUUCAUCUCUGCAACAAUUGGACCAUCAUUACGCAAAGCUAUUUGAGUAUUCAUCGCACGUAGAGCAAACAAAGAUUUCUGGCUUAAUGCAUCAGCAACAACAUUUGCUUUUCCUAGAGGGUAGUUAAUCAGUAGCUCGUAAUCUUUUAGUAAUUCUGACCAUCUCCACUGUCAUAAAUUCAAGUCUUUCUGAGUCAUCAAAUAUUUCAAACUCUUGUGAUUUGAAUAAACAUGAUAUUUCUCACCGAACAGAUAAUGGUGCCAAAUCUUCAAUGCAAACAUAAUGGUUGCUAACUCUAAAUCAUGCGUCAGAUAAUUCUUUUCAUGCGGCUUCAACCAUCUCGAGGCAUAAGCUAUAAAUUUUCCUUCUUGCAUCAAAACACAACCCAGACCAUUCAACAAUGCAUCACUGAAAACUACAAACUCUUUGCCCGAUUCAGGCUGAACUAACACUGGAGCUUCAGUCAAUAAAGCUUUUAACUGCUCGACACUUUUCUGGCAUUUAUCCGACCACUCAAACUUAACAUCUUUUUGAAGAAAUUCCGUCAUCAGAGUUACAAUCAUUGAAAAGCCUUUCACAAAUCGUCUAUAAUAGCCGGCGAGUCCCAGAAAAUUGUGAACCUCAGAAACAUUUCUCGGAGGCUUACAAUCUAUAAUCGCAGAUAUCUUACUCAAAUAAACUCAAAUACCCGCAGCUGAAACUAUAUGCCCUAGAAAACCAACCUCGCGCAACCAAAAUUCACAUUUGUUGAAUUUUACAUACAACUGCUUAUGUCGCAGAGUCUGUAGUACAAUCCUCAAAUGCUCAGCAUGCUCGGAUUCAUCACGUGAGUAAAUUAAGAUGUCAUCAAUGAACACAACUAUAAAUUGAUCUAGGUAGGGUCUGAAAAUCUGGUUCAUUAAGUCCAUAAAGACAGCAUGUGCAUUUUUUAGUCCAAAAGGUAUAACUAAGAAUUCAUAAUGACCAUACCUCAUUCUGAAUGCGGUCUUUGGCACAUCAGAAUGUUUAACUCGUAACUGGUAAUAGCCUGAUCUCAAAUCUAUUUUUGAAAAUAUUGUAGCCCCUUUUAACUGAUCAAACAAAUCAUCUAUUCUGGGCAGAGGAUACUUAUUCUUGAUCGUCACUUUGUUAAGCUAAUGUAGUCUAUACAUAUUCUCAUCGUGCCAUUUUUCUUUUUCACAAACAAUACAGGAGCACCCCAGGGCGAGAAACUCAGUCGUGCAAAUCCUCUAUCUGUUAACUCUUGCAACUGAGAUUUCAAUUCUUUUAACUCUUUCGGAGCCAUUCUAUACAGAGCUAUCGAUAUAGGGUCAUCCCAAUCGACUGUGGGCCUACCAUAGGGUCGGUAAGGGCUAACCAAACCCUAAAAUUGUAGGUCUAGUUGACUGAUAAUCUAUUCUAAGUAUGAUUAUGCCAUGCAUAUUUGAUUAUGUAUUCUGUAUCUGUUCUGUAUAUGAUUGUGGGGUGGGUUUUGUAUUAAUGGAGGAAGUGUUCUAUACGAUGAUCAUCGCCUAAUAUCUGGAAGCUUGGUUGCACUAUUUCUGAUAUGUGUCGUAAUGGCACAACCUGGUGUGCAGGGAUGAGUGGGUGUUUAUAACUCCACAUGGUGUGUAGAGGAUGGGGGUAGGAUUCUGAUUGUUUGAUUCUAUUUACUGUAUCUGUAUCUGUAUCUAUAUCUAUUUUCAAUUGUGUAUAUGAUUCUAUAUGAUUGCAUGCUUAAGUCUGCUGGGUUACACACUGAGUUUAUGUAAACUCAUAUCUAUUUGUCUGUACAGUCAAGUAAUCCAUAAUCUUAGGCAGAUUGGUACAACAAGGACUCGGCAGUGACCACUCUUCGGUAAAACUGUUUAGACUUAUUAAUUUAUGGUUUAUUUAAUAAUUUGGGAUAUAAUUCUGAGACUUUGUAAUUGUCGGGACUCUUUGGACUGUUGUGGCUUUUAACUUGAUUUGGUUUGAUAUGGUAGGUAUGUUACAUGCUUGAUAAAAUAUUUUACGGAAACGAAAUUUACGCCAAAAAGAGGCUUUUUAAAAAUACGAAACGGAUUUCUAAAAUGUUUUAUUUUUGUUUAACUUCCACUGUAACAAGUGUUUUGGCAAAUGAACUGUUAAAAUAAUAUUUUAUAUAAUAAACAUGAAGGAAUGUGAGUUUUAUUAUUGAUUAGUUAAUGGAAUCAACUUGUUUUUAAAACCCAUUUUUUGUGACAUCUUCGGAUUCGGCCAUUACGUAUAGGCCGGGUUUGGGGUCUUACAUUCAUAGCUUUUGUGAUUUUUAUAUAUUCAACUUCAGUAAUCCGUAAAGCUAUAGUGGCUUGAAGCGUAGUUUUCCAAGUAAUAGCACAUUUGUCAAAAAAAAUAGAUAUCCCGUGAAGGAUUUUUUUUAAUCCAAAUCUCCUAUAUAAUAUGAGUCUAAAAAGCCCACUAGACCCUCUAAACUUCUUUCAAACUCUAAACAAGUAUCUGUUGUUCCUCUUAAAUAUCUGAGAAUCCAUUUAACUGCUUGCCAAUGUAAUUUUUCAAGUCUAGCCAUGUAUCUACUUACAACACUAACAGCAUGUGAAAUAUUGGGACGAGUGCUAACCAUUGUCUACAUGAAACUUUCGAUUGCACUAGAGUAAAGAACUGAGGACAUAUACUUUUCUUCAUCUUUGAUUUGUGGUGACUCUGAAGUCGAAAGUAUGAAGUGUCCAAUUAAGGGAGUACUAACCGAUUUCGAAUCUUUCAUCCCAAAUUGCUUGAGAAUUUUUUGAAUGUAUCUUUGCUAAGACAAAAACAUCUUUUCGGAGCUUCUGUCUCUGGAAAUUUUCAUUUCUAGAAUUCUUAGUUGCACUAAGAUCCUUUAUCUCGAAUUUAGAGUUAAGCAUUUUUUUAAACGAUCAAUUUUGGAUGGAUCUUUAGUCGCAAUUAACAUAUCAUCAACAUAAAGCAACAAGUAUAUAAACGAUUCAUCAUCAAGAUUAUGCUAGUACACACAACUAUCAUACUUACUUUGUAUAAAACCAAUGCCUGUCAUAAAGGAAUCAAAUUUUGUAUAUGAUUGAUGAGGAGAUUAUUUUAGGCCGCACAAAGAUUUCUAUAGAAGGCAGACAUGGUCUUCCUUGCCUUUGAUCCUAAAGCCUUCAGGUUGUUGCAUUCAAAUAUCCUCCUCUAGGUCAGCAUGUAGGAAUGCAAUUUUCAUAUCUAACUAAUCUAAUUGAAGACUGUGUAACCCAACAAGAGCUUACAAUGCCCAAAUGGAUGUAUGCUUCACAACAGGAGAGAAAACAUUGUGAAAAUCAACUCCCCAGUUGACUAUAGCCCUUUGCGACUAACCUUGCCUUAUAUAUUGUCUUGCCCAAGUUUGAUACUUCCUUCCUUUUGAACACCCAUUUGCAACCAACUAUCUUCUUUUCGGUAAUUUAUUUUACUUAUUUCCAAGUUUCAUUCUUUUGAAGAGAUUACAUCUCCUCUCCAUCACCAUAAGCCACUUGCUCGAAUCAGGAGCAUGAACUACCUUAGAUCAAUUGGAAAGAUCGACUGAAUUAAUGCUCUUUGCAACACUUAGUAUGUAUGCCACUAAAUUUUCAUGAUAGUAUUUUGAUGGUGGCUUAACUUCUCGUCUUUUCCUGUCCCAAGCUAACUUAGAAUUUUGUAGUUGAGAUGUAGGAGUUUGAGAGUUAGAUGGGGCCUCUAAAUGAUUUAAAGUGACUUCAAUACAUUUUUACAGUUCUUGUAUUGUUGCGACGUCACGAUAACCCUUGUCACGAUGUUGACUCUACUCAUCGUGACGUUGUUGUUUGUGAAGUUAUGAUGUCACUAUCUAUUUUUGCUCUAUUUCCACCUUGCCUAAGACACUCUAUUCUGUUUUCUCAUUAAGGGAAGACGACUCCUUCCCUGGAUGAAACAUCAUAAUUUCAUCAAACUAACAUCUCUACUAAUAAUCAUUUUGUUUGUUUCUGGGUACCAUAGCUUAAAAAUUUUGACAUCGAUGAAAAAACCAAGAAAAUACAUAUCAUAACCCUUCUUUAAGCUUUUCUUGAGUGACUCGUGUAUAACUAGGACAACCUAAUACUCUAAGGUUAGAGUAAU